CGACGCCCGCGACCUGUCGAACUUUCCCGUCUUUGGCCCCAUGCACCGAGCCACCGCCGAGAAGUAUGACGACCACAGGCGCCUGGUUCGGCAGUGACAUCGAUGAGGAGUACAUAGAGUGCCUCCACCAUCGCCGCAAGCUACUGCCGUGAGAGCAUGUGGCCGCGCGUCUCACAUGCGCGGAGUAUGCUCUGGCCACGCAAGACGACGAGGUGGUGUUGUUCGCAGAGCAUUUCGCCCGAGGGCUCGGGCUGCCGGCGAGCACCUUCUUUCACUGGUUCCUCACACACUUCGGCCUGCAACCUCACCACCUCAGUGCCAACAUCGUCUUGCAGUUGGCCGCCUUCGUCACCCUGUGCGAGGGCUUCCUGGGGAUCGAGCCACGCUUGGAUCUCUGGCGCCUGCUCUUCUACUUCAAGCAGCUCACAGUGGUGAACAAGGCCACCAACAUGAAGGAGCUGAGCGCGUGUGGGGCAACACUCUUCCACCACCAUACGGGAGCCGGCUUCCCGAAGCUUUCCUUGCAGGACUCAAUGAAGAGUUGGCCGAAGGGGUUCUUCUACGUGAAGAACGUCGAUACAGCCCUCAACUUUAUCAACUUGCCCGACUUCUUUGACACGCCUCCGGUUGACAAGCUGAACUGGAAGUCUGCCUUGCCGUACCCGAUCGACGAGGUGGACUAGAUCUGCGCCAGGCUGACACAACUGGUCGAUGAGGAAGGCCUCACGGGUGUGGAUCUUCUCGCCACCAUGGUGGCACAUCAGGUUCCGCCGCCGCAACACCGCCCGCACCUCAUCUGUCAGAUGGACGGCCGGCAUCACCCGUGCCGGCUCUCGACGAAAGAGCUGAGGUUGCACCAUGUGGCGAGGCGGGUGAACGUGAUGUCUGCCGCCCAGAUGGACGAAGGGGAGUGGCAAUGGGGCGAGGCCGCCUACGACUAGGAGCAUUCGGCUCCAGUGCUAAGUGGCAUAUUAGUUUUCCUUUCUUUUGUUUUUUAUGCCGCCCUUCCACGCGUGACGCCGGAUGUCAACUGCGGCAAUAGUUGUUUUCCCGGUUGCAUAUUUAUGGCAAGCCAGGAGAUGACUUGCCGGAGUCAGACCCCGAGGAAGUCGAGGAUGCCGACGAGGUGGAUCUGAGGGAGACGACCCGUGCCGGAGAUGAAGCGUCGGGAGUCGAUUCGGCGGAGUUGGAGAAAUCCAAGGCGGCUGGUGAGUUUUUGAAAUCCGUGCUGCUUGGUUGGUCUCAUGAUGAUGCUGAGCCACCAGCAUCACGCGAUGUAGCCGCCGCAGAGGAUUUGGAGGCCCCAUAGGAUGACACGAGCGUGCCGAGUAGACGGCUUCGCCGAGCCGGCCGUGGCUCCGCCGGAAGCAAGGCGGAGACAACGAGGCGGGGCAAUCUGCUGGUGAGCUCUCGCCCGCCUCCCAAGCAAGCAGCCGAUGGGCUUGUGGCUGGUGGCCGUGGAUGCGGCGGAAAGAAGCACGGGGUCGCGCCGACGUCGCCUACCAAGCGGGCGUUCCUGGUCGGCGCCGGGUAAGUCCUUCACCCGGUCUGUUCCCCUUCGUUCUUGUUUUCUUCGUGAUAGCUUGUGCUCAUACAAACGCAAUGGACAGGGCCCCGCGCACCCUGGGGAAGUCGACCCGUACGACGGUGGGGGAGGCCGGAGGGAGCAUUAAGGAGGAGCACGCGGCGGGGGUGGAGCUGGAGGCGGCGGAGAAAGCACUCAUCGAACAGGAGCGCCGUCCAUGGGAGGAGGUGACCUAGAAGAUGGGGGCUGGAGGGGCUCGUGUGGAGCCGGAGGGUCAAGUGCCGCAACCGGACGUCUCUGCUCCGGAUCCACCGUCUAGGGAAAACGGUCCAAGAGGACGCAUGACCCCGCGCGGCAAUCGGAGGCGGACGCGCGAACCGACGAAGUGGCGCGUGCACAUGCGAGCGCAAUGGAUGCCAUCAAAGGACCGGAGCAGGGGGCCCGACAAAACACCGGAGGGGCCCGACGUCGUGUCAUAGGGGCCUGAAGCCGCACCGGAGGAACCCGAAGCCGCACCAGAGGUCGAGGUUCUGCCGCCGGGGACAGAGGCUCCGGGCGACAAGGCAGACUCCUCCAGCGAACCACACGCGAAGGUGGGAGGCGGAUCGUCGGAGGUUGAGUUCCCCGCCUCGAAGGAACCCCGCGAGGACGCUCGUCGAAGGAGCUGGCCGGGGGAACGCAUUCAGGAGCGAGAACUUUGUUGUUGCAGCCGGAGCCAGAACCAGCGCCUGGACCCAGCCACUGGAGAACUUGGUCGUAGCCGACGGGAACCCCGAAGAAAGGGUUCCCAACUUUCCACGAGGCGGUGUCCACGUUUUUAUCACAAAAUUCGCCAAAUGUCGCGACCAGGCGCUCCAGGCGGCCCAGGCGACACGGGAGCGGUUGCUCGACCUCGAGCAGUCCGUCGGGGUAAGCAUUUUGUCCCUUCAAUCUUUCUUUUCCGAUUUUUCUUUUUCUUUAGUGGGGGCACGCCAGAGCACCCACUGGGUGUAGCCUCCAAGAUUCGGGCCAGUUGGGAAUCAACCGGGUCGAGUCUUACCCGCGAUAAAAUCUUUCCUUUGUUCUUUGCAGGCCCACCAUGAUGGCCGGGUGACCGCCUACAACGCAUUGUUGGGUCGGUACCGGGAGUGAGAGAGCCAUGCGGCCGAUCUCCGGAGCCGGCUGACCCACACCGACUAGCAACAGGAUCUCCUGCAAGAGGAGUGCAGCUAGCUGCGCCAGGAGGCAGACAUUCUCCAGGCGGAAAAGAAGGACCGUGAGGUGGCACAUUGCGUGGAACUGGAGCGGCGGGAUGCAGCUCAUCGCGUAGCGCUGGAGCAGCGGGAUGCGGCUCAUCACGUGUAGAUGGAGUAGCGGGAUGCGACUCACGUUGAGGCCCUAAAGGCCAAGGACGACCAUCUGGCGGACGCGGUCAAGGCGGCGUGGGUUGCGUAGGACAAGCAUGCCUGCCGGGCCAAGGCAUGGGCGACGAGGGAGCGGGAGCUGCAGCAAGAGGCGCAUGAGGUGGACACGCUCGUGUCUGGUAAGUUUUCUUGUCUUGACUUCUUCUUUUGCCACCUUGGGCUUGGCCCCCUUCUUUUCUUUUCUUACACCGCACGCUCGUCCUCCUCCCAUAGAUCUCUUCCCAAGGACGCGGGAUGAGGCGGAGGCGGCCGUUGUGGCGCCCUCGAUUUAAUCGUACACUAAUCAUACACGCAAAUGCUAGAAUACAGAAGCUCGAUAAACACACGAGUCAGCGGAAGCAACAAUAUCUGAGUACAUACAUUAGACAUGGGGUGCUUUAGAGAAGGCUAGCACAAAGAUACAACGAUCGAACGAGGCGAGGCCUCCUGCCUGGGAACCUCCUAAACUACUCCUGGUCUUCAGCGGCCUACACGUAGCAGCAGGCACCGUCGGGGUAGCAAUCGUCGUCUGCAGGAUACUCCAUCUCCUGGGCUCCAUCAGCUCGUCGCAACAAUGGAUCAAGGGUACAAAGGGGGGAGCAAAGCAAUGGUGAGUAUUCAUUCAAAGUACUCGCAAGACUGACAUUAGAAGUAUGCUAAAUAUGCAUCAGUAUCAAAGGAAGGGGUUCAAAUCCGGACUGACUACAGCAAUGCGAGAAAGAGAGAAAAGGCCUAGUCCUAUCAAAGACUAGCAUCUUCAAGGGUCUUGCAGCAAUAGACGAGAGUAGAACAGGUAACANNNNNNNNNNAUAUUGUUGCAACAAUAAUUGAUAGGAGGUCAUGCCCCGAGAUUCUCCCUCGACUCCCUGCGAGGAAGCAAUCCCGGAGCAAAUAUUCUAGUUAAGUAACAGUUCUAGUUGUAUAAGAUUGAUACGUCUCCAACGUAUCUAUAAUUUUUGAUGGUUUCAUGCUAUUAUCUUGUCAAACGUUGGAUGUUUUGUAUGCCUUUGAUAUCUUUUUUGGGACUAACUUAUUAACUCAGUGCCAAGUGCCAGCUCCAGUUUUUUCCGUGUUUUUGACCCUUUUCAGAGGACGAUUUUAAACGGAGUCCAAACGGAACGAAACUUCCAAAAAGAUUUUUUUCUGAAAUAGAAGAAGAUCGGGAAGCCUGAGAAUCAGGGCAGGGGGCCAGCAGGGACCCCACAAGCCCCCUAGCCGCGGCCAGGGGGGCCACGCCUCCCAGGCUUGUGGGCUCCCUGUGCCACCUCUACCCAAGGUCUUUCGCCUAUAUAUUCCCGAAAAUUCCAGAAAAAAUCAGGAGAUCAUCGGAAGUACUUUUCCGCCGCCGCAAGCUUCUGUCUCUGCAAGAUCCCAUCUGGGGCACGUUCCGGUGCCCUGCCGGAGGCGGGAUUCAGAUACGGAGGGCUUCUUCAUCAACACCAUGACCUCUCCGAUGAUGCGUGAGUAGUUCACCAUAGACCUACUGGUCCAUAGCUAGUAGCUAGAUGGCUUCUUCUCUCUCUUGGAUCUUCAAUACAAAGUUCUCCAUGAUCUUCAUGCAGAUCCAUCCGAUGUAAUCUUCUUUUGCGGUGUGUUUGUCGAGAUCCGAUGAAUUGUGGAUUUAUGAUCAGAUUAUCUAUGAAUCUUAUUUGAGUUUCUUCUGAUCUCUUAUAUGCAUGAUUUCAUAUCCUUCUAAUUCUGUUUGAGUUGUGGGUUUUGUUUGGCCAGCUUGAUCUAUGAUUCUUGCAAUGGGANNNNNNNNNNAGUGCGUUGACCUCACCCAGUGACAGAAGGGGUAGCGAGGCACACAUCGUCUUGUUGCCAUAAAGGGUAAAAAGAUGGGGUUUUCAUCAUUGGUUUGAGAUUAUCCCUUUACAUCAUGUCAUCUUGCUUAAGGCGUUACUCUGUUCGUCAUGAAGUGAAUACACUAGAUGCAUGCUGGAUAGCGGUCGAUGUGUGGUCGUGUGGAGUAGUAGUAGUAGAUGCAGAAAGUAUCGGUCUUCUUGUCUCGGAUGUGAUGCCUAUAUGUAUGAUCAUUGCCUUAGAUAUCGUCAUGACUUUGCGCGGUUCUAUCAAUUGCUCGACAGUAAUUUGUUCACCCACCGUAAUAUUUGUUAUUUGCAGAGAAGCCUCUAGUGAACACUAUGGCCCCCGGGUCUACUCCACACCAUAUUUUCAGCCUUACUCUUUUUCUUCGUUGCACUAUCCGCCUUCAUAUCUAACUUUGCAUUCAAUCUUGAAGGGAUUGACAACCCCUUUAUAGCGUUGGGUGCAAGCUNNNNNNNNNNNNNNNNNNNNNNNNNNNNNNNNNNNNNNNNNNNNNNNNNNNNNNNNNNNNNNNNNNNNNNNNNNNNNNNNNNNNNNNNNNNNNNNNNNNNUUAUUAACCUAAUUAAUUUCAUUAAGCUAAUUAACACAUGAAUCGAUUACUUAUUUAGUAUUAAUUAAGUUAGCUAAUUAAUUAAUUAAUUAAUUAAUAUGUUUACUUAUUUAGUUAAUUUUCUAUUUUCUAUUUUUUAUUCUUAAAACACAUUAGGGGGUGGCCCCCCGUUGUCAUACAUAGGGGGUUUAGUGGGGGUAUUCCCCCUCAAAUUAGAUCAGUUGUGGGGGUGUCUAGGGGCCACGAGCUCCAGGGGCUCGCCGGCGGCCAGGGUCGGUGCGACCGGUGGGAGGGUCGAGCCGGUAGAUGUGCAAAGCGGGCUCGAGGGAGGGCGGCGGCCGACGACGGUGGGGAGGCGAGGUGGCGUUCCGGCGACGGAGGCGGUCGGGGUCGGCGUCGUGGCGGUUCAGGGAAGGGGCGCGGAGGCCCCGGGGCGUGGCGGCCCGCGAUGGUCGAGGGUGGCGUCGGUGGCCGGUGGAGGCGGCCCGAGGAGAUCCGGCGGGGGCGGGUGGAGGAGAGGGAGCCGGAGGAACGCCGGAGGGCACCGACGUGGCGGAUCCAGCAUGGGGGAGAGAGGGGGCGAGGGUGGCCGGAGGAGGGACGCGCGGAUCCGGCCAGAGAAGGACUGGUGGUGGCCAAGGAGGGCCGGACGGUGUAGAUCCGGCGGCCAGGCGGCCCGGGGCGGGAGAGGCGAGCUCGGGCUGGCGUUGGGGGCUGAUGUCUACGCAUGUUUCUAUNNNNNNNNNNNNNNNNNNNNNNNNNNNNNNNNNNNNNNNNNNNNNNNNNNNNNNNNNNNNNNNNNNNNNNNNNNNNNNNNNNNNNNNNNNNNNNNNNNNNAUGUUUUAUGUACCUUUUAUAUCUUUUUUGGGACUAACUUAUUAAUUCGGUGCCAAGUGCCAGUUCCUGUUUUUUAUGUGUUUUUGGCUCUUUCCAGAUCUGAUUUUGGAAGGGAGUCCAAACGGAAUAAAAUCCCAGAAAUGAUUUUUCUCGAACGAAAGAAGAUCAGGGGGCUGUGGGCCAAGCCAAGAGGGCUCCAGGGAGCCCACAAGCCCCCACUCCGCCACCAGGGGGAGGCGGCGGUAGGUAGGCUUGUGGCCUCCCUGGCGCCCCCCUGACCUAGAUCUUGCGCCUAUAUAAUCCCUAAAAAAUAGAAAAAAUCAAGGGAGCCUCGAAAAUACUUUUCCGCCGCCGCAAGCUUCCGUUUCCGUGAGAUAUCAUUUGGAGACCCUUCCCGGCGCCCUGCCGGAGUGGACUUUGGAGUUGGAGGGCUUCUUCAUCAUCAUCAUCGCCCCUCCAAUGACUCGUGAGUAGUUUGUUGGGUAACGUAGCAUAAAUUCAAAAUUUUCCUACGCAUAUUCAGAUCUUCCUAUGGAGAGACCAGCAACGAGAGAGGGGUAAGAGCAUCUUCAUACCUUUGAAGAUCGCUAAGCGGAAGCGUUGCUAGAACGCGGUNNNNNNNNNNNNNNNNNNNNNNNNNNNNNNNNNNNNNNNNNNNNNNNNNNNNNNNNNNNNNNNNNNNNNNNNNNNNNNNNNNNNNNNNNNNNNNNNNNNNGAUCACAUUAUUAGGAGAAUCAUGUGAUGGACUAGACCCAAACUAAUAAACGUAGCAUGUUGAUCGUGUCAUUUUGUUGCUACUGUUUUUCUGCGUGUCAAGUAUUUAUUCGUAUGACCAUGAGAUCAUAUAACUCACUGGCACCGGAGGAAUGCCUUGUGUGUAUCAAACGUCACAACGUAACUCGGUGACUAUAAAGAUGCUCUUCAGGUAUCUCCGAAGGUGCCCGUUGAGUUAGUAUGGUUCAAGACUAGGAUUUGUCACUCCGUGUGACAGAGAGGUAUCUCGGGGCCCACUCGGUAAUACAACAUCACACACAAGCCNNNNNNNNNNNNNNNNNNNNNNNNNNNNNNNNNNNNNNNNNNNNNNNNNNNNNNNNNNNNNNNNNNNNNNNNNNNNNNNNNNNNNNNNNNNNNNNNNNNNNNNNNNNNNNNNNNNNNNNNNNNNNNNNNNNNNNNNNNNNNNNNNNNNNNNNNNNNNNNNNNNNNNNNNNNNNNCGUAUGCGGAUACCGACGAUCGAAUCUCGUGCAAGUAACAUACCGAAGGACAAAGGGAAUGACAUACGGGAUUAUAUGAAUCCUUGACACUGAGGUUCAACUGCUAAGAUCUUUGGAGAAUAUGUAGGAUCCAAUAUGGGCAUCCAGGUCCCGCCAUUGGAUAUUGACCGAGGAGUCUCUCGGGUCAUGUCUACAUAGUUCUCGAACCCGCAGGGUCUGCACACUUAAGGUUCGGCGAUGUUUUAUGCGUAUUUGACUUAUAUGGUUGGUUACCAAAUGUUGUUCGGAGUCCUGGAUGAGAUCACAGACGUCACGAGGAUUUCCGGAAUGGUCCGUAUACGAAGAUUUAUAUAUAGGAUGACCUCAUUUCAUUACCGGAAAGUUUUCGGCAUUACCGGGAAUGUACGAGGAGUGACGAAUGGGUUCCGGGUGUUCACCGGGGGGGGGGGGGNNNNNNNNNNNNNNNNNNNNNNNNNNNNNNNNNNNNNNNNNNNNNNNNNNNNNNNNNNNNNNNNNNNNNNNNNNNNNNNNNNNNNNNNNNNNNNNNNNNNNNNNNNNNNNNNNNNNNNNNNNNNNNNNNNNNNNNGGUGCCGCACCAGCCCUUAGUGGGCUGGUGGGACAGCCCAAGAGGCCCUAAGCGCAGGAGAAGGAAAAUCAAAGAGAAAAAAAGGGGAAGUGGGAAGGUAGGGAAGGACUCCACCUUCCAAUCCUAGUUGGACUAGGAUUGGAGGAGGAUUCCUCCUCCCCCCCUUUGGCCGACCCCUUGGGGCUCCCUUUAGACUCAAGGCAAGGUCUCUCCCCUCCCUCCUAUAUAUACCGAGGUAUUAGGGCUGAUUUGAAAAAAAAACUUUGCCACGGCUGCCCGACCACAUACCUCCACGGUUUUUCCUCUAGAUCGUAUUUCUGCGGAGCUCGGGCGGAGCCCUACUGAGAUAGAUCACCACCAACCUCCAGAGCACCGUCAUGCUGCCGGAGAAAUCAUCUACCUCUUCGUCUCUCUUGUUGGAUCAAGAAGGCCGAGAUCAUCGUCGAGCUGUACGUGUGCUGAACGCGGAGGUGCCGUCCGUUCGGCACUAGAUCGGAGCGGAUCGUGGNNNNNNNNNNUGGUUUGUGGGACGGUUCGCGGGGCGGAUCGAGGGAGGUGAGGACGUUACACUACAUCAACCGCGUUUCUUAACGCUUCCUGCUGUGCGAUCUACAAGGGUAUGUAGAUCUGAAUCUCCUCUCGUAGAUGAACAUCACCAUGAUAGGAAUUGUGUGUACGUAGGAAUUUUUUUGUUUCCCAUGCGACGUUCCACAACAGUGGCAUCAUGAGCGAGGUUCAUGCGUAGAUGUUAUCUCGAGUAGAACACAAAAGUUUUUGUGGGCCGUGAUGUGCAAUUUUCUGCCCUCCUUAGUAUUUUCUUGAUUCCGCGGUAUUGUUGGAUCGAAGCGGCUCGGACCGACAUUACUCGUACGCUUACGAGAGACUGGUUUCAUAGCUACGAGCAACCCCAUUGCUCAAAGAUGACUGACAAGUGUCGGUUUCUCCAACAUUAAUUGAAUGGGAUUUGGCCGAGGAGGUCCUUGGAGAGAGGUUAAAUAGCAAUUCAUACAUCUCCGUUGUGGUGUUUGCGUAAGUAAGAUGCGAUCCUACUAGAUACCCAUGGCAACCACGUAAAACAUGCAACAACAAUUAGAGGACGUCUAACUUGUUUUUGCAGGGUAUGCUUGUGAUGUGAUAUGGCCAACGACGUGAUGUGAUAUAUUGGAUGUAUGAGAUGAUCAUGUUGUAAUAGUUAAUAUUGACUUGCACGUCGAUGGUAUGGCAACUGGCAGGAGCCAUAGGAUUGUCUUUAAACUAACGUUUGUCCUUGCAGAUGCGUUUACUGUAUUGCUAGGACGUAGCUUUAGUAGUAAUAGCAUGAGUAGCACGACAACCCCGAUGGCGACACGUUGAUGGAGAUCAUGGUGUGACGUCGGUGACAAGAAGAUCGUGCCGGUGCUUUGGUGAUGGAGAUCAAGAAGCGCAUGAUGAUGGACAUAUCAUGUCACUUAUGAAUUGCAUGUGAUGUUAAUCCUUUAUGCACCUUAUCUUGCUUAGAACGACGGUAGCAUUAUGAGGUGAUCUCUCACUAAAAUUUCAAGACGAAAUUGUGUUCUUCCCGACUGUGCACCGUUGCGACAGUUCUUCGUUUCGAGACACCACGUGAUGAUCGGGUGUGAUAGACUCAACGUUCACAUACAACGGGUGCAAAACAGUUGCACACGCGGAACACUCGGGUUAAGCUUGACGAGCCUAGCAUGUGCAGACAUGGCCUCGGAACACAUGAGACCGAAAGGUCGAGCAUGAAUCGUAUAGUUGAUAUGAUUAGCAUANNNNNNNNNNNNNNNNNNNNNNNNNNNNNNNNNNNNNNNNNNNNNNNNNNNNNNNNNNNNNNNNNNNNNNNNNNNNNNNNNNNNNNNNNNNNNNNNNNNNAUGGUAGUUCGAUACUGCUCCGGACACAUUGGUUGACCGGCAUGUGUCCUUCCUAGCUGCUAUGUCUAUCCCCUUUGGGGAAAUGUCACGCGAUGUAAUGGAGUCCCUGUAGCUUGCUACGACUCGUCUACAUUCGCUGGUGACCCACACCUGCUUUGCUGGGUCAUGUAUGCUUGUCCCUGUGCGGAACUGCCGCUUUGGUUUAUGACUAGACAUGUCGAUCCGGGUUCUUUGUCACUGGAUUGGUAGCGACACAAUUGCAUACCCGAGUCAAAAGGCACAAACGGUCCCGGCUAAGGUAAGGCUGCAGCCGUGGGGAUAAUCGUGCGCGAGACCGCAAAGAGAUGCGAUGUGUUACAGGCUGGAUUCCUAUGACUUAGGAUCGGGGUCCCGACAGCGUUGGUAUCAGAGCCUGACUGAAUGUAGGACUACUAAGCCAAACUGGUCGAAGUUGAGUCUAUAAUUGCUUUAGUUAUAUAUAAGGGAAUUGUUUGUGGAAGGGAACGUAAGACUCUUGUUCUCUUCUCAAGUUAUUCUAUUCUGGUCAUCCUCGUCUUUUCUGCGGGAAUUAAGGACUAGGUUACUCAUCUUCUUCUAGGCUCGUGUUUCUGAUCGGUAGAUUAUAAGACUACGGGUCGAGAGAUAUUUGGGUUUCUUCUAUCCCUAGGAAAAAGGAAGUAAGUUUGAUGAUCAGAGAAUUGAACUUGAUAGUUGAGUGGUUAUGCUAUUCUAUUUUUGGGUUGUCUCAAAAAUUGUUUUUGAGCAUCUACAGCCGUUAUGCUGCCCAAUUUUGCAUUCAGAGCUCUAAUGCUUUUGCAUUAUUCUCUAUUUUCAGAUGCCUAGCCGUCCUUCUCGUCAGGUGGUUCGUCUGACCAGGUGCAUUGAUGUGCCGGGUCAUACGGCCAUGCUCGUCAGGGUGAUGUCGGUGUGCGGUUACCGCUGGUACCCAGAGUACACAAUGGAGGAACAGUACCGAGACUUCAACCAGAGCCAGUAUAUCUGCACUGUUAGGGUAUUUCCAGACUACCCUAGAGCCGAGGAGCCAAUCCAUUGGUCUUAUGGAUUGGGAGUUACUGUUGACAAGGCAGUACAAGAUGCUGCCUAUUUAACUGACCAUUAUGAGGGCGAGACAUGCACUGGUGCAGAACUCAGAGUUCUGUUAUGUUCCUGCCUCUCAGCCUGGUGAGGAGGGAUACCUAAGUGGGGUCUAUUUUGAUUCCUCUAUGGAGGAUCCGCUAUUGCAAUCCACUGCUGAGAUGCUAGAGAACAGAGACAGGGAUGCUCGUGCUCUCCGCAUGGAGCUUUAUGCUACACGUGCCCGUCUGUGGACGGCAUUGACGCAACUGGCACCGGUAGUCCAGACAGGGUAUGGAGAUAUGGAGAUGCUGAACCCUUUUAGGACCCAUCUUCCGGCCCAUGUUGACUGGCCCGCUAUAGGAGGAGUCACCCCUCUUCGGGGACCCCUACUACCACCAGUCAGGGGACCAAGGCCACAUCCGUGUCCUUAUGGAUCCCAGGGAUCUCAGGCUAGAGUAUUUCCUGAUCCGCAGGUUGAGCUUCCAGGCCAUGGAUGCAAUCUUUAUGAGAUGUUCUAUGCAGAUGCCUGAGCCGUGAGUGGAAGGAUAGUAUGGUAUUAGCCGUACGUUCACAGUCCUGUGUGACUUGUGCAGUAUGCUUGUGAUGUGAAAUGAAUUCCGGAGGCCUAGAUAAAUAAUGCAUAGGAAGCUUGUAAGCCUCUAAUGAGUAGUUUCAUAAUUUCAGUAGUUUGCUCUUCGGUUAAGGUUGUACUGAACUAUGUAAGGGUGUGUAUGAACCAUGGUGUAUAUAUAGCAGUUGCUUGUUACCAUGUUGUUCGGAUAUUCAUUUCCGCAUUCCAUGUGUUCAGUGCAUUCUUAAUCCAUAGCUAGUAUUGAUAAUGAUAUUGGUCUAAGCUGUGAGUUUGUUUGUCAGGAUGGUGUUCACCAGGUUGAACCGUGCCCUUGCUCAUGAGCAAGGCGAGGGUAGUCAAGCGUCGCAGGAAGACUUGCCUCACCCGCCCUCUCUGGCGGAAGUUAUGCUUGAGGCAGAGAGGAACAAAAGGGAGACCAACCGACUGUUAGAGAGAAUUGAGCAGAAUACGGCUCGUCAGCCUAGGAAUGCUGCAGUAUCUCUCAAUGACUUUGUGAACCUGAAUCCUCCAAAGUUCCAUCACUCGGUCGAUCCCCUCGACGCUGAUAAUUGGCUAUGCAGUAUCUCACGUAAGAUUCGCUCUGCGAAUGUUUCUGAGGCCGACAAGGUGACCUUUGCGGCGUAUUUUCUGGAAGGACCCGCCAAUCUGUGGUGGGAGAACUUUGAAGCUAUGCGUCCUGCUGAACCAGCAGCCACAUGGGCAGAUUUUAGUGCAGCCUUUCGUCUGCACCAGAUUCCAGAGGGCCUGAUGGAAAGAAACAGAGAGGAGUUAUGUGCAUUCACCCAGGGGAAGUUGACCGUGGAUGCCUAUAGCCGCGAGUUCGGUAACCUCGCCCGCUAUGCAACAGAGGAGGUGUCUACUGAUGCCAAGAAGCAAGCAAGAUUCCGUAAGGGUCUGGGCCCUGAGCUUCGUCGUGAUUUGCGCCUCCACGAGUGUACAAGCUUCCAAGCCCUGGUCAACAAGGCGAUCAGUGCCGAGACUGGUCAUACCGACUUUGAAGCCACAAAGAAGCACUCUCGUGAUUUUGGCUCGUCAUCUGGUUCCGCGUUUCCAAAACGCAGGCUGUGGGUUCCAAACAGUUCUCUGCCGCCAAGAUACACUCCAAGGCCAUCCUAUGUGGCGCCUCACACGAAUCAGACCAACCCUCCAGCAAAAACCUAUGGUGGUCUAGCUAGCAAUGCUGCACCACGUGCCAACCAAGUGAUAUGUUACAAGUGUGGAGAACCAGGGCACUAUUCCCGUGAGUGUCCUCAGAAUGUGGGUGCCAAGCAACCCGGAAAGUCCGUCGGGCAAGGCAAGUCGGGCAAAGCUUACUGUGUGAAGCCAACUCCUGCACGUGGCCAUGUGAACUAUGUUUCAGCAGAAGAAGCUGCAGAGGAUCCCGAUGUUAUACUGGGUACGCUUCUUGUUAAUCAUCACUCAGCGUAUGUUCUUUUUGACACUGGGUCUUCUCAUUCCUUCAUUUCAGAAAGUUAUGCACAGUUGCAUAACAUGUCUUUCUGUGAUAUGCCAAUUCCAUUGGUUGUCGAAACUCCUGGUAGUAAGUGGCAAACCUCUAGGAUAACCUAUGACAAUGAAAUUCUAGUAGACAGACUAGUUUUUCUAGCCUCAUUGAUAGCCCUGAAAUCUUCGGAUAUUAAUAUCAUCUUGGGUAUGGACUGGAUGUCAGCUCACUAUGCUAAGAUUGAUACUCAUUCUAGGAAUGUUCAACUUACCCAUCCCUCGGGAGAGAUAGUCAAUGUCUCUACUCGAGUUGCCAAAUGCCAACUCUAUUCCCUCAAUGCCAACCCUCUUCCGGAACUUGAAGACAUUUCGGUAGUCCGUGACUUCCCGGAUGUUUUUCCAGAGGAACUGCCAGGAAUUCCACCUGACAGAGAUGUAGAGUUUGUAAUAGAUCUUGUUCCGGGAACCGUUCCAAUAGCCAGAAGACCAUAUAAGAUGGCACCCCUGGAGCUAGCCGAACUUAAGAAGAAACUAGAUGAGGCCUUGAAUAAAGGUUUCAUUCGUCCUAGCUCUUCUCCUUGGGCUUGCCCCGUCCUCUUCGUCAAGAAGAAAGACGGAACGGAUCGGAUGGUUGUAGAUUACCGACCAGUUAAUCUGGUCACCAUAAAGAACAAGUAUCCGCUCCCCAGGAUCAACGACAUGUAUGAUCAGCUCGCUGGAUCCUCAGUCUUCUCCAAAAUGGAUUUGAGGUUGGGAUACCAUCAAAUCAAGAUCAAGAACGGGGACAUUCCAAAACCGGCUUUUGUUACUCGUUAUGGCCAAUACGAGUACACCAUCAUGUCCUUCGGUUUAACCAAUGCCCCAGCCACCUUCUCUCGCUUAAUGAAUUCAAUCUUCAUGGAGUAUUUGGAUAAAUUCGUCGUGGUAUACCUCGAUGAUAUUCUCAUCUACUCGAAGAAUGAACAAGAACAUGCUGAGCAUCUAAGGCUGGUAUUGAUGAAACUUCGAGAGCAUCGCCUUUAUGCCAAGUUUUCAAAAUGUGAAUUUUGGUUACCAGAAGUGACCUAUCUAGGUCACGUAAUCUCUCGUAAGGGUAUUGCUGUCAAUCCCAAGAGAGUUCAAGCUGUCCUUGAUUGGACUCAACCUGAACCGGUUAAGCAAGUUAGGAGUUUUCUUGGUCUAGUGAGCUAUUGUCGCCGCUUUGUCGAGAAUCUCUCCAAGGUUGCAAAGCCUCUAACUGAACUCCUCAAGAAAGAUAAAAAGUUCGAGUGGACACCACAGUGUGAGCAUAGUUUCCAGGAACUAAAAAGACGCCUGACUUCCGCACCUGUGUUGCUACCACCAGAUUUUUCUAAGGACUUUGUUAUCUAUUGCGACGCCUCGCGACAAGGAUUAGGUUGCAUUCUCGUGCAAGAUCGUCAUGUGAUUGCAUACGCAUCUCGACAGUUGCGUCCACAUGAGGAUAAUUAUCCCACACAUGAUCUUGAGCUUGCAGUUGUAGUCCAUGCACUUAAAACCUGGCGACAUUACCUCCUCGGUAAUCGUUGCGAAAUAUUCACUGAUCACCAAAGUCUGAAAUAUAUCUUCACCCAGCCGGAUUUGAAUCUUAGGCAAAGACGGUGGGUUGAGUUGAUCUCGGAUUACGACUUAGGGAUAACUUACACCCCGGGGAAGUCCAAUGUUAUGGCUGAUGCACUAAGUCGUAAAUCUUAUUGUAACAAUUUGAUGCUACAACGAGGUCAACCACAUCUCUAUGAGGAAUUUCGGAAGUUAAAUCUUCAUAUUGUUCCUCAAGGAUUCCUUUCUACCCUGGUGGCGAAGCCUACCCUUAAGGAUCAAAUUAUAGCUGGCCAGAAGCGUGAUAAGGGUAUAUCAUGGAUCAAGGAGAAUAUCAUUAGCGGAAACGCUAACAAAUUCUCCAUGAAUGAUCAAGGUGUUGCGUUCUUCUAGAAUCGUCAAGUGGUUCCUAAGAAUCCACAUCUAAGGCAGUUGAUCCUUAAGGAAGCUCAUGAUUCUCCUCUCACCAUUCAUCCCGGUAGUACUAAGAUGUAUCAGGACCUACACCAGAGGUUUUGGUGGACUAGGAUGAAGAGAGAAAUUACUGAGUUCGUCGCCAACUGCGACGUUUGUCGUCGAGUUAAGGCAGAACAUCAAAGGCCUGCUGGCACCCUUCAACCCUUAGCUAUUCCUGAAUGGAAAUGGGAUAAAGUCAGUAUGGAUUUCAUUACCGGAUUUCCCAAGACCAAGAAAGGAAAUAAUGCUAUCUUUGUGGUCAUUGACCGUCUCUCCAGAGUAGCUCAUUUUCUUCCAGUUCGUGAGAGUAUAACAGCUAGCCAGCUAGCAGAGUUAUAUCUCUCUCUAAUAGUGUCUCUUCAUGGUGUUCCCCUGGAGAUUAACUCAGACCGUGGGAGUAUCUUUACUUCUCGCUUCUGGGAAAGUUUUCAGAAUGCUAUGGGAACUCACUUAUCUUUUAGCACUGCUUUCCAUCCUCAAUCAAGUGGUCAGGUAGAAAGAGUAAAUCAAAUCCUAGAAGAUAUGCUCCGAGCUUGUGUUAUAUCAUUCGGUAUGAAUUGGGAGAAGUGCCUUCCAUUCGCCGAAUUUGCUUAUAACAGUAGUUAUCAAUCAAGCUUGGGCAAAGCCCCUUUUGAAGUUCUCUAUGGACGAAGAUGUCGAACACCUCUUAAUUGGUCAAAAACCAGAGAGAGGCAACUCUUUGGCCCGGAUAUGAUCCAGGAUGCAGAAGAGCAGGUUCGCAUUAUUCGUGAAAAGUUGAAAACAGCCGAGUCUCGUCAAAAGAGCCAAUAUGAUCGUCAUCAUAAGGCUGUGACCUUUGAAGUUGACAAGAAGGCUUACCUUCGGGUUACACCUUUGAAGGGUACCCAUCGAUUCGGUAUCAAGGGCAAGUUGGCUCCUCGUUUCAUUGGUCCUUUUCGCAUUCUUGCCAAACGAGGAGAAGUUGCCUACCAAUUGGAACUUCCUCCGCAUCUUUCCAAGGUUCAUGAUGUCUUCCACGUCUCGCAACUCAGGCGUUGCUUUUCGGAUCCUAUCCGUGAAGUGGACCACGAAACGCUUGAUCUCCAAGAUAACCUUUCAAACCGAGAAUACCCUGUAAGUAUUCUUGAUCAAGCUGAGCAUACCACUCGACGUCGAAACCUCAAGUUUAUUAAAGUUCAAUGGUCAAAUCAUUCUGAAAAGGAGGCAACAUGGGAAAGAGAGGAUCGUCUCCGACUUGAGUAUCCCGCGUUAUUCCCGACGACUUCUAAAUCUCGGGACGAGAUUCUUUUGAGUGGGGGUGAGUNNNNNNNNNNNNNNNNNNNNNNNNNNNNNNNNNNNNNNNNNNNNNNNNNNNNNNNNNNNNNNNNNNNNNNNNNNNNNNNNNNNNNNNNNNNNNNNNNNNNUGAGGAAGACCUACCUGAUGCUCACCUGGCCCAGGCCCAGCUCCUGUGUCGUCUUCCUCCUCACUAGUAGGAGAAGGAAGUGGCCACCGCGACGCUCGGCGCCUCCACGCAGCUCCCUGCCUGCCUGGCCGCCGCUUCGCGCUGGCACGUGCGGGGAUAACCUCCCCGAGCACUGGCCUAUCCAUUCCCGCGUACCAUUCCCACCCUCCUCUCGGUUCCUUCCUCCCCUUCUGCCGCCAUUGACAGGAGCUCGAGCUCGAGUUGCCCGUGCCUCUGGCCACUAGUUCUUCCCCCCGAGUGCCCCAUUCGCUCCGCCUCGACGAGCUGGUCCUCCUUGCAGAAGUAGAAGUCCCCCCGAGCCCUACAACGCCCACGGCACCGUCGUCUUCAAGCUUCGGCCGCCGGCGAGCUUCGUUCGAUUCGUCGCCCACAUCGCCUCCUCGAGCCGUCUAAGUCCUCCACUGCACUCCCCGUGAGAUUGCGAUCAUUUCCCCUCUUCUUCCCCUCGGUUUCAUGCCCCUAGCCACUAGACCGACGAGCCCGAGCUCCGGCCGUCGCCUCCGCCCGUCGCCGGUGACCUCCGGUCCUCCCAAGCCCUCCCUGAGGCCAGUACUGGAUGAGGCCGAGCCUGGGGAUCCUCCCAGUGCUCUCGGCUCUCGAUCCCGAGCACUACAGCCAUCUCCGGCGACACUCCGACACAGAUCCGUUGCGGAUCUGGUCGCCGCCGGUCAGUCUCCGGCAGGGGAUGACCUGGCCNNNNNNNNNNAGAUCCUCCCAGUGCUCUCGGCUCUCGAUCCUGAGCACUACAGCCAUCUCCGGCGACACUCCGGCACAGAUCCAUCGCGGAUCUGGUCGCCGCCGGUCAGUCUCCGGCAGGGGAUGACCUGGCCUCACUAAUCCAUGUUUUAAAAGCUAAUUAGCCACUCACCAGUGGGCCCCGGGCCAAGUCAAACGCAAACAGGGGCUGGUCAGCGCGGGAUUAUCCCUGUGAGGCUGACCAGUGGGUCCCCCCUGUCGGGUUUGACCUGACCAGGUCAGCCGACGGCUGACGCCAUGCUGACGUGAGCCGGACGCAAUAAGUGGAUUUCUGAUUUAAAAGAAUUCCAGAAAAUGCCCAAAACUUCUAAAAAUCAUAGAAAUUAAUUUGUAACUCCAAUGAAAAUAAUUUAUAUAUGAAAAAGUAUCAGAAAAAUCCAAGGAAUCUGAAUAUGUCAUUUUUAAACAUGUUUGAAAAUCUUACUGGACCAAUCAUGUAGAAUAAUGAAGAGGUUAAAUUUAAUAAAUGCUUUGGAGUUGGAAUUUGAAAAUCAUUUGNNNNNNNNNNCGCUAAUUAGCCACUGACCAGUGGGCCCCAGGCCAAGUCAAACGCAAACAGGGGCUGGUCAGCGUGGGAUUAUCCCUGUGAGGCUGACCAGUGGGUCCCGCCUGUCGGGUUUGACCUGAUCAGGUCAGCCGACGGCUGACGCCAUGCUGACGUGAGCCUGACGCAAUAAGUGGAUUUCUGAUUUAAAAGAAUUCCAUAAAAUGCCCAAAACUUCUAAAAAUCAUAGAAAUUAAUCUGUAACUCCAAUGAAAAUAAUUUAUAUAUGAAAAAGUAUCAGAAAAAUCCAAGAAAUCUGAAUAUGUCAUUUCCGAACAUGUUUGAAAAUGUUACUGGACCAAUCAUGUAGAAUAAUGAAUAGGUUAAAUUUAAUAAAUGCUUUGGAGUUGGAAUUUGAAAAUCAUUUGAAUUCCACUUCAAAUGCUAUGACCAAAAAUUGUUCAAUCACAACCAGCAACUUAACAUGUCAUUCCCAUGCAUGUUAAAAACAAGUUGAUCUGAGCAUCAGGUCGAAUCAAUUAAAAUGGUAUUCGAGAAUACCCCGUUUGAAGUGAUAUUUGAAUCUGAUUCAAAUCAACUUCAAACUUAAUAAAUGAUAGCUACAUUAGCAUACCACCUUGCAUACUCAUGCCAUGCUCAUGCAUUAUUUUGUUGCAUAUGAUUGUUAUUGAUUGUUGUCAUUUCUUUCGGUAGGCUCUGCUUAUCCGGAUUCCACUGAAUAUCCGACUGACGGAUAUUGUCCCUCCUCUGAGCAACAAGGCAAGCAACCAUUUUGAUCAUCCCGAUAAAUCCCAUGUUCUCGCUCCUGGACUUACUUAUUGCAUUAGGAUCAAAUGCUCAACUGCUUUUGCCACGUUAGUUGAACCCACUUCCUUUGCAUGACCUGUCUUUGUCACAGCAAAUAGCUGAACCUUGCAACCUAGCAUACCUGGUAGAUGCUUGAGCCAUGAUGUGCCUUAUCCUGCUAUGCAUGCUAUGCUUAGAGUUGUGUAUGGUCUGUCAUCUGGGAGAUGAAUAGAAUUGUGAGAAUGUGUUCAGUAGGUAAAGGUUGUGUGUUGAACCUGAUUUGGUAAAGGUACCGGUGAAAGGCUAUGUAGGAGUACAUGACGGGUUGUUUCAUGGGAACCGUCCUUAGGAACUGAGUUCCGUUUAUGUAAUCCAAGACGAGAUACUACCACAUGCUGGGCCCUGAAAUAUGNNNNNNNNNNNNNNNNNNNNNNNNNNNNNNNNNNNNNNNNNNNNNNNNNNNNNNNNNNNNNNNNNNNNNNNNNNNNNNNNNNNNNNNNNNNNNNNNNNNNAUAGAAACAUGCGUAGACAUCAGCCCCCAACGCCAGCCCGAGCUCGCCUCUCCCGCCCCGGGCCGCCUGGCCGCCGGAUCUACACCGUCCGGCCCUCCUUGGCCACCACCAGUCCUUCUCUGGCCGGAUCCGCGCGUCCCUCCUCCGGCCACCCUCGCCCCCUCUCUCCCCCAUGCUGGAUCCGCCACGUCGGUGCCCUCCGGCGUUCCUCCGGCUCCCUCUCCUCCACCCGCCCCCGCCGGAUCUCCUCGGGCCGCCUCCACCGGCCACCGACGCCACCCUCGACCACCGUUGGCCGCCACGCCCCGGGGCCUCCUUGCCCCUUCCUCGAACCGCCACGACACCGGCCCCGAUCGCCUCCGUUUCCGGAAUGCCACCUCGCCUCCCCACCGUCGUCGGCCGCCGCCCUCCCUCGAGCCCGCUUUGCACCUCUACCGGCUCGAUGUGAGCCCCCUUACCUUCUUCCUUUCAUGUCCUCAUUGGCAAACAUGGCCUCGCCCUCCCAACAGCCGCACCGGCCCUGGCCAACGGCGAGCCGCUGGAGCCCCUCGCCCCUGGGCACCCCCACAACCGAUCUGAUUAGAGGGGGNAUAAAUUAUGUUAACUAAUUACCCUAAGCACACUAUGAUAGGUGGGUCCCCCCUUAAUUAAUCCUGAUUAAUAUUAAUUAAACAUUAAUUAGUUCUGUGUCAAUGACACACGGGCCCCACCGGUCAUUUGACGAGUCAAACCAUGUUGACUACUGAUGUCAGCAUGACAUCAUGCUGAUGUCAUGAUUGCAUUUAAUUGAAUUAAUUAAUCUGUUUUAAUUUCUGAAUAUUGAUUAAAUCUUUAAAGAUUUAUAUAAAAUAAUUCAUAGCUCAGAUGGAAAUAAUUUGAACAGGAAACUUGAUCAACACAACGAUACGAACCCGGAUACACGAUCCUUUAGUCUGUCACGCGUCCCCAACGAACUUUUCCACCGUUUUUCCAUCUGACCGGUAGUAGCUCAUGCCUAUGACCCAUAGCUUCUCCCGCAUAUCCGAUAUUUUACCGACCCGUCUAUGACGGAUAGCACUGCGUUAGCUCAUGCCUAGACCUGCAUAUUGCCAUGUCAUGCUUAGUGUUGCACCUGUUGCUGUUAUUUAUUAUUCCCCCCCCCCUCUUCUCAUCGGUAGACCCCGAGACUAACGUUGCUAUAGGGUACAUCUACCCUUCCGACGACCAGCCCUUUGCUGCAGAGCAACAAGGCAAGCAAACCCCCUUGAUCAUCCCUAUAUCGCCUAUUCUUUCAACCUCAUGCUUGCAUUAGAAUUUUGCUACUGUUGUAGUUAGCUCCUAUAUUUGAUGCAUAGCCUAUUUUUGGUGAACUGCUACUUUCUGUACCACACCUUUAAACUUCUUAGUAUAGGUGGAGCAGUCAGCCCCUCCGACCCCUUUAGUCCAGUUGCCCCGCUUUAUUGUCGAGUCUCCAUCCCUCAUCGGCGAGCCAAUACCCGACACAGCACUUACACCCCCCUUAGUUGUACGACGAUGCAGAGCUACUAUCGGGUACUGAGGGUGAUACCUCACGAAGUACUCAGGAUGAUAUAUCCGUAGUGGAGCUAGUCAGUCGUGGUUAUCGAGGGUGAUUCCUCCUUCAUCACUCCCGACGACGACUCUGUCGUGCAACCCCUCAAGUGUGAGACCCUCGAGGGUGAUUCCUCUAAGUCCACCUUGAGAAUUACAUUGUUUGGGAUCCAACGAGGGUGAUACCUCGGAUUCCCCUUGAUGUUACAACCACACAUUUACUUGACCUUGUUACUGGGAUCAUUGUUGAAUAAAUGUUAGGCGGGUGGAUUCCCGCGUGGAUGUGUCGAUAAGUUAGUUAAAAUGUUAAUGGAUUUGCGUAUUUGAAAUGGGUUGGUCGGAGACCUUUUCGCACUAACCGCAUAUGCGGGAGAAGUUAUGGGUACUCGGCAUCGUGGUAUCAGCCGAAGCUCUUCAGACGUCAGCAAUGGAGCGGCGCGCGCCUGAGAUGUAUCGCGCUUGUAUUAAGGGGUGCUAGGACUGACAUCGGCCGCCCUUGCAUCGUGCAGGAGCGUAGAGGUCAAGUGGGCCCAUGACCCCUUUGUGCUUAUGAUUUGGACCGGCGGGCUGGCGUCUCUGUUGAGCUUAGGUGGGGCUGAGACGUGUCGAUAUACUAAGGCCGGGCAUGACCCAGAAAAGUGUGUCCGGAUAGAGUGUUAUCGAGCGUGACGGGACACUUGGUCCACCCCUGCAGGGACGAAAAUUAACUAUUUGGAUAGUCGUGUCCACGGUUACACGACGACUUAGAGUUGUGCCCUGAUCUUUGCUACGGCAACAGGAAUCCUUACCCGGCAAUGGCGCUAGUAAUUCUUUUUGCUACUUCUCAAACAACAGCGCCAGAAACUGACACGUUGAUGGAGACUUGCUUCCGUUGGUUUUUCCCUUAAAGAGGAAAGGAUGAUGCAGCACAGCAGCAGUAAGUAUUUCCCUCAGUUUGAGAACCAAUGUAUCAAUCCAGUUGGAGAAUCUCGUCAAAUCCAGAGUACCUACGCAAACACAAAUGAGCUUGCACCCAACGCUAUAAAGGUGUUGUCAAUCCCUUCAAGAUUGAUUGCAAAGUGAGAUCUGAAGGAGGAAAGUGCAACGAAGAAAAAGAGUAAGGCUGAAAACAUGGUGUGGAGUAGACCCGGGGGCCAUAGUGUUCACUAGAGGCUUCUCUGCAAAUAACAAAUAUUACGGUGGGUGAACAAAUUACUGUCGAGCAAUUGAUAGAACCGCGCAAAGUCAUGACGAUAUCUAAGGCAAUGAUCAUACAUAUAGGCAUCACGUCCGAGACAAGUAGACCGAUACUUUCUGCAUCAACUACUACUACUCCACACAUCGACCACUAUCCAACAUGCAUCUAGUGUAUUGAGUUCAUGACGAACAGAGUAACUCCUUAAGCAAGAUGACAUGAUGUAGAGGGAUAAUCUCAAACCAAUGAUGAAAACCCCAUCUUUUUACCCUUGAUGGCAACAACACGAUGCGUGCCUCGCUACCCCUUCUGUCGCUGGGUGAGGUCACCGCACGGUAUGUACCCAAAACCAAGCACUUCUCCCAUUGCAAGAAUCAUAGAUCAAGCUGGCCAAACAAAACCCACAACACGAAGAGAAUUACAAGGAUAUGAAAUCAUGCAUAUAAGAGAUCAGAACAAAAUCAAAUAAGAUUCAUUGAUAAUCUGAUCAUCAAUCCACAAUUCAUCAGAUCUCGACAAACAUACCGCAAAAGAAGAUUACAUCGGAUAGAUCUCCAUGAAGAUCAUGGAGAACUUUGUAUUGAAGAUCCAAGAGAGAGAAGAAGUCAUCUAGCUACUAGCUAUGGACCCGUAGGUCUAUGGUGAACUACUCACGCAUCAUCGGAGAGGUCAUGGUGUUGAUGAACAAGCCCUCCGUAUCAAAAUCCCCCCUUCGGCAGGGCACCAGAACAUGCCCCAGAUGGGAUCUUGCGGAGACAGAAGCUUGCGGCGGCGGAAAAGUACUUUCGAUGAUCUCCUGAUUUUUUCUGGAAUUUUUGGGAAUAUAUAGGCGAAAGACCUAGGGUAGAGGUGGCCUAGGGAGCCCACAUGCCUGGGAGGCGUGGGCCCCCUGGCCGCGGCUAGGGGGCUUGUGGGGUCCCUGGUGCCCCCCUGUCCUAAUUCUCAGGCUUCCCGAUCUUCUUCUGUUUCAUGAAAAAACUUUUGGAAGUUUCGUUCCGUUUGGACUCCGUUUAAAAUCCUCCUCUGAAACUGGAACUGGCACUUGGCACUGAGUUAAUAAGUUAGUCGCAAAAAAGAUAUAAAAGGCAUACAAAACAUCCAAAGUUUGAAAAGAUAAUAGCAUGAAACCAUCAAAAAUUAUAGAUACGUUGGAGACAUAUCAAGCAUCCCCAAGCUUAACUCCUGCUCGUCCUCGAGUAAAGGAAGUGAUAAAGUCUGAAUUUUUGAUGUGGAAUGCUACCUAGCAUAAUUGUCCUUUGUAACUUCUUCCAAGUGACAUGAAUGUUCAGAUCCGUAAGAUUCAAAACAAUAGUUUGCUAUUGACAUGAAAACAAUAAAACUUCAAGCGAACUAGCAAGGUAAUCAUGAACUUUCAAAAUAACAAGGCCAAGGAAAGUUAUCCCUACAAAAUCAUAUAGUCUGGCUAUGCUCCAUCAUCCUCACACAACUAAUGUAAAUCAUGCACAACCCCGGUAUUGGCCAAGUAAUUAUUUUCGCACUCUUACUUUCUCAAACUUUUUAUAACUAUCACGCAAUACAUGAGCGUGAGCCAUCGAUAUAGCACUAUAGGUGGAAUAGAGUAGUCUGGUGAUUGUGAGACAAAAAGGAGGAGAUGGUCACAUUGACUCGGUGUAUCAAAAGGCUAUGGAGAUGCCCAUUAAUAGAUAUCAAUGUGAAUGAGUAGGGAUUGCCAUACAAAGGAUGCACUAGAGCUAUAAGUAUGUGAAAGCUCAAGAGGAGAACUAGUGGGUGUGCAUCAAACUUGCUUACUCACGAAGACCUAGGGCAAUUUGAGGAAGCCCAUCAUUGGAAUAUACAAGGCAAGUUAUAUAAUGAAGAUUCCCACUAGCAUAUGGUAGUGACAAAGCAAGAAGCUCUCAAUCAUGAAAAACAUGGUGCUAUUAUGAAGAACAAGUGUGGAAAAAUAUAGUAGCAUUGUCCCUUCUCUCUUUUUCUCUCUUUUUUAUNNNNNNNNNNNAUAUAUAUAUUUUUUUAUUUGGGCUCUUGGGCCUCUUUUUUCAUUUGGGCUCUUUGGCCUAUUUUUUUUAUUUCCUCACAUGGGACAAUGCUCCAAUAAUGAUGAUCAUCACACUUUUAUUUACUCAAAGCUUAGAACGAUGAUGACUCUAUAGGAAAUGCCUCCGGUAGUGUACCGGGAUGUGCAACGAUCUAGCGAUCAUGCAAUGGCAAUAUGAGAGUGACGACACAAGUCAUGAGAUGGAACAGUGGGAGUUGCAUGGAAAUAUAUCUCGGAAUGGCUAUGAAAAUGUCAUAGUAGGUAGGUAUGGUGGCUGUUUUGAGGAAGGCAUAUGGUGGUUUGUGUACCGGCGAAAGUUGCGCGGCGCUAGAGAGGAUAGCAAUGGUGGAAGGUGAAAGUGCAUCUAUACCAUGGGCUCACAUUAGUCAUGAAGAACUCACAUACUUGUUGCGAAAGUUUUUAUUAGUAAUCGAAACAGAGUGCUAAACGCAUACUCCUUGGGCAAGGGUUGGUAGGUGUUAACCAUCGCGCGAUCCCGACCUCAACACAAAGGACAACAAUCAAUAGAUCAAUUAUGCUCCGACUUUCUAACAUAGCGGUUCACCAUACGUGCAUGCUACAGGAAUCACUAACUUCAACACAAGUAUUUCUAGAUUCACAACACCCUACUAACAUAACUCUUAAUAUUACCAAAUCCACUGUGACAGCCCGAGACCGACGCCCCAGAAGAUUCCCCCUUCUAUUAUGUUUUCGUCGUGUGUCUAUUUUCUUUUGUCGCAUCAUCAUCGCAUCAUGCGCAUCAUCAGCAUUGCAUCGGCACCCUGUUGCCGCCAGUUUUCAAAAGUUGCAUCCGUUGCUUGUUGCUGGUUCUCGUCGUUGUCCGUUCUGAGCCCGACCACACACGCACGCGCCCGCGGCAUCGUUUGAAUCUUGUUUUUAAAAUUAUGCGUAAAACUUUCUCUGAUUGGGUUGAGAUUUGACGUGCGGUCUUAUUUUAAUGUAGGUAGGCCACCUGUCAAGUUUCGUCGUGAUCGGAGUCCGUUUGGUACCCGAACGGUCGACCGUAGCGGCACCGUAUUCGGUAUUUUGUCGGACGUCUGUCGGUGUUUUAAAAUAUGUUGCCAUGUGGCAUUUUCCCUCUCAUCUCCGCCUAGCCCCUCUGCACAGUGCUUCGUCCCUACGCGUGGCCGAGUCCGAAACCUCCCGGAACCCAAACCCGGUGGUCGUAACCGUUGGGUCCGGAUCAACCCCGUAUUACCCUAAACCAUCAUCGGUUUGUUAAAUGGUCUCCCUAACUAGUUUUUUUCCGACCGUCUGAUUUAAUUGAAGGGUCCAAAUGCCCCUCUGGACUAACCAAAUUAUUAUUUGUAGUCCUCCUAGACCUAACCCUAUCCCAAUCUCGAUCCCCACUAUUUUCCUCGAUCUCCUCUCCCUCCUCCCGACUGCGUCGCCUCCCUGCCAGAAUCCCACACGCUCAGCCUCUCCUCCCGAUCCCCUCCUCGAUCUCGUUGCCCUCGCCCCACGCGUCCGCCGCCCGCAUGGCGCGCCAGCAGGACGUCCCCGACCAGCCAACGUGAGCGUAUGAGCGCGAUGGCCUCGUCCCCAAGCCUUCGCCUUGCAAUUGCAGCCAGGACCGUGCCACCCUUCUCCUCCUCUUUCAGUAUCUCUCCUUUCCCUCCCUCUCAUCCUCUCUCUCUACCUCUUCUCGUAGGAGCCAAAGCAGGCAUGGAGAAGCAGCGCCGCCGCCAGCCAAGUCCUCGUUGUCAUGGCCUUGGAUCCAUGCCGCCAGCCAAGUCCUCGUUGUGAUGGAUCCGGUCGGAAUGGACCUCCAUGGCCACGCCGGACCUCCUCCUUGCCUCGUUGAGCGCUCUGCUCGCUGUCCUCUGCGAUGGUCUCUAGGUCAGCUCGUCCAGCCAUGGCCAGAGCUUUGCAUUCUUUUUUCCCAGAUCCGUCCUCACGUGUAUAGGUUACUUAGCGUUGGCAUUUGUUUGCAGCACGUGCGGGUGCUAGCUGAGUUGGUUGGCACAACCGGUCUCGUUGCAAGAGUGCUGGGGUUCGAAUCCCACUCACCACGAUUUUCCCUUUUUGUUAUUUUGAUGAUUUAGGUUCGCCCGCGAUUCAUAUUUAUCUAGCCGAGUGCUCAUAUGUUGAGCACAAUCAUAGCGCUAGCACACUGGUAUAUGCCAUGUAGUCAGACCCACGGGUCCUGGGUUCAAUCCCAGCUGCCUCAUGUUUUUUUCCUUGUUUUUUUUAAAAUUGUUGUCAAACGUUUGGACCUGAUCUGUCGCUGGGUUACAUUGUGUCUUCGAAUUCGGCCGAGUUCGUUUUUUUAUCUAUGCUAAGAUUUUUGCUAAUUUCAGAAAAAGCAUCGAUUUUUAAACACCCGUAGCUUUUAGACCGUGCACCGGAUCGAAACAAGUUAUAUAUGAAACUUGACUAGAAUUUUGCAUAGAUUAACAAUUUCCAACUCUCGUGCAUGGUAUAAGGCUGUUAGAGUGCUGUUUGCAUCGGUUUGCGUGCCGACGUGUUAAAAACGGUUUAGGACGUAGUUAAUUAACCGUAGCUCAGUUGGAGUUGAGCCAGAUAUGUCAAUGGUGCAGAAUGACGAGUAUAAUCACGUGAACCUAUUUGUUUUGCUGUUUAACAACCAAUUAAAUGUGUUAGUUCAGAUCUGGACAGAAUUGUAAAUUAACAUGUGAGGUCGUUUCGGAGAUGCUAUAUGUCAUUUCCGACCUCAUUUAAAAUGCCUAGAUAGGUAGUUUACUUAUGCUUCACCUCUUGCCAUGUGUAACCACAUCUAAUAUUGCCAUGUACCUAAUCGGGAUAGAACUAAAUAAAUUAACAUGGAGUUUCGCCAAUAUGCAACUCGUUGCAUAUUAAACGUCACUUAAUGUGUAGUGUUUGUUUGUCGUGAAUUGUCUUGCCGUGACUUGUUUGCAUUUAGCCUGUACAUGCAUCAUAUGUGUUGUGCAUCGUGUGGUGAAUAUCGUGUGUUGAUGCUUGUUCCGGUUUUCCCCGUCUCGAUAGAGUUCCGCAAGCGUGUCGUAUGUGAGGACCCGUUCGACUACAUCGGUUCGUCUGCUUCACAGAGGCAUUCUUCUUGCAAGCAGGAUCUCACGCAAGAUGACCAUUUCCCCAGAUACCAUUACUAUCAUUGCCAUGCUAGUUUUAUAGCUUCUCUCUCUUAUGUAUCGUUGCCUACCACAUGUUAAAUAUCAGCCUCUCAACAACGCCAUGAAACCCUCAACCUGUUCAACCUAGCAAACCACUGAUUGGCUAUGUUACCGCUUGCUUAACCCUGUGCUAGCGUUGCUAGUUGCAGGUGCAGUUGCUUCCAUGUGAUAACAUGGGUUCCUUGUUAUAUCCCCUUAUUAAAUGCUAUUUAAUUUAAUGCACCUAUAUACUUGGUAAAAGGUGGAAGGCUCGGCCUUUCUAGCCUCGUGUUUUGUUCCACCUUUGCACCCUUAGUUUUGGCUACCGGUGUUAUGUUCCAUAAUUGAGCGCUCCUAACACGAUCGGGGUUGUUAUGGGGACCCCCUUGAUAAUUCGUUUUAGAUUAAAGCUAGUCUAGCAAGGCCCAACAUUCGUACUACAUUUGCCUAAACACCUAAUAAAAUUUCAUAGGCAUUUUCCGGACCCCGAGGAUAAUUUAAUCAACCCCCGGGCGAGUGCUCCUCUUGAGUGUUGGUCCAAACUGGAUAGACUGCGGGGCCACCACGGGGCAACUCGAGGUUUGGCACCUGUAGGCUUUUCCAUCCGUCGUGUCCUGAGAACGAGAUAUGCGGCUCCUAUCGGGUUCGUCAACACGUCGGACGGCCUUGCUGGAUUAGUUUUACCUUUGACGAGAUAUCUUGUGCAUCGGGAUUCCGGUGAUGCUUUGGGUAAUCUCAGAGUUGAGGUUUUCCACUAGGGAAUCCGACGAGAUCGCGAGCUUCGUGAUUGAGGAUUUCUUUGCGGCUUGUGGUAAUUUGUGAUGGACUAGUUGGAGCACCCCUGCAGGGUUAAAUCUUUUCGGAAAGUCGUGCCCGCGGUUAUGUGGCAAUGUGGAAGCUUUGUUUAACACUGGUUCUAGAUAACUUCAAGUUAACUUAAUUAAAAAAUAUGCCAACUGUGUGCGUAACCGUGACUGUCUCUUUCGUGAGUUCUUUCUAUGAUCGAGGACACGGUGGGGUCAUGUCUGACGUAGGUAGGUGAUCAGGAUCAUUCAUUUGAUCAUCAGUAGACACGUCCGUUAUGCGUAGAUCUUUCCCCUCUUACUUCUUGUACUCGUAAGUUUAGCCAACAAAUAUGUGCUUAGCCACUGCUGCAACCUCACCACUUAACCAUACCUCACCCAUUAAGCUUUGCUAGUCUUGAUACCUUUGGAAAUGAGAUUGCUGAGUCCCCUGUGGCUCACAGAUUACUACAACACCAGUUGCAGGUACAGGUAAAGGUUACUUGACGCGAGCGCGUUGAUUGUUCAUUUGGAGUUGCUUCUUCUUCUUCUUCUUCGAUCUAGGAUGGGUUCCAGGCCGGCAGCCUGGGAUAGCAAGGAUGGACGUCGUUCUUAUUUUGUCAUUUGUUUUCGUCCAUAGUCGGGCCGUGCUCUUACUCUUGAUGAUUAUGUAAUGUACUGAUGUGACUCUGAUGUAGCUUGUGGCGAGUGUAAGCCAAUUCUAUAUAUAUAUAUAUCUCUUCUUUUCAUUACAUGUACUUGUAACGAUAUCCAUUCUUGCGACACGACGAGAUGCGCUUCUAUCCCUGACGAGGCCUUCGUGCCAAAUUGAGGAUAGGGUCGCAUCUUGGGCGUGACAUCCACGUCUCAAAACUAAUUGAGAGGAAUCAAGACUUCUCUUUCUACUCAAUGCACAUCAAGAUGGAAGUUUUUGUAUCCUCUUUGGGUACCUAUCACCUUUGGGACUACUUUCAUAGGAUAAGCCAACUACCAGGUCACGCACCGCCGUGCUCUAAAAGAUCUAAGUGAAGCACAUAGAGCAAGAUUAUCUAGCCCAAAAGAUAUAAGUAGCACGAUGAGCAUUCUAGAAAAAUCACGAUGAGUGCAUGUCUCUCUCUAAAGGUGUGCAGCAAGGAUGAUUGUGACACAAAAAAGAAAACACUCCUAUGAUACAAGAUGCUCCAAGCAAAACACAUAUCAUGUGGUGAAUAAAAAUAUAGCUCCAAGUAAUGUUACCGAUGGAUUGAAGACGAAAGAGGGAAUGCCUUCCCGGGGCAUCCCCAAUCUUAGGCUUUUUGGUGUCCUUGAAUUUGGCUUGGGAUGCCUUGGGCAUCCCCGAGCUUCAGCUCUUUCCACUCCUUAUCUCUUUGUCCAUGAGAACAUCACCCAAAACAUGAAAACUUCACAACACAAAACUUAAACAGAAACUCGUGAUAUCAUUAGCACAAGAAAACAAACUACCACCUCUUUAGGUACUGUAGCAAUCUUGAUUUCUAUUUAUAUUGGUGUGAGAUUACUGUAUUCUCACUUUUCCAUGGCUAGUACCCCCCGAUACUAUCCAUAGUUUCAUCAAAACAAGCAACCAACUCAACAAAAAACAGCAUCUGUCAAAAAUAGACCAGUCUGUAGCAAUCUGUAUACUUCGUAUACUUCUUUUACCUCAAAAAUUCUGAACAAUUACGAUAGCCUGGGAAAACGGCAUAUCAACCAGGAAAAAGAAUCAACUCAAAAGCUCUUUCUGAAUAAAAAUGAAAAAUAAUCUCGUGAGCGAAAAGUUUCUGUCUUUUUCCAGCAGAAUCAAACAACCAUCACCAAAACUAGUCAUAAAGGUUUUGCUUGGCUCAAACACAAAAAGAAACACGAAAAACACAAUCAUAACAGAAUUAUAAUGGUGUGGAUGCAACAAAACAGAAAGAAAAAGAUAAAUUCAUUGGGUUGCCUCCCAACAAGCGCAAUUGUUUAACGCCCUUAGCUAGGCAUUGAUAAAUCAAUGAUGCUCACACAAAAUACAAGAAUUGAAGCACAACGAGAGCAUCAUAAAGCGUGUGAAAAUCAAAUCUAAGUCUAACAUACUUCCUAUGCAUAGGCAUUUUAUAGGAAAACAGAUUGUCAAGACAACCAAUAGUUGCCAUAUGCAAGGAAGAAGAAAGAGACAAUAGCAAUCUCCACAUAACGAGAGGUAAUUUGGUAACAUGAAAGUUUGUACCACAAUAUUUUCCUCUCUCAUAGCAAUUACACGUGGGAUCAUAAUCAAAUUCAACAAAAUAGCUAUCACAAAGGAUAUUCUUUUCAUGAUCCACAUGCAUGCAAAGUUGACGCUCUUCAAAAAUAGUGGGAUUAUCAUCAACUAAAGUCAUGAAUUCUCCAAACCCACUUUCAAUAUUAUUGCAAAUAUCAUUGCAACAAGUAGUGGACAUAGCAAAACUAGCAUCUCCAAGCUUAGGGUUUUGCAUAUUUUUAGCAUGAUUGUCACUAAUAUAAUUUAUAGUGAAACCAUUGCAAUCAUGCUUUUCAUUCAAGGAGCCCUCGUGAAUCACUUCAUAAAUUUCUUCAUCACGAUUUUCAGAUUCACGCAUCUCAAGCAAAACUCCAUAGAGAACGUCAAGUGCACUCAAAUCACUAGCAAUUGGAUCAACAUAAUUGGAUCUCUUAAAGAGAUUAGCAAGUGGAUGAGGAUCCAUAUCACUAGAUUUUCAGCAAGCGUAGAUACGACCAUAUUGAAGGCACAUAGCACACAAGCAAAGGAAAGGCAAACGAAAUAGGCAAACGAAAAAGGCAACCUAAAUAGGCAAAUAUUUUUGUAUUCUUUUCUUUUUCAGAAGUGGGGGAGAGGAAAACGAGAGGCAAAAAAAAGUAAAUGCAAGAGAUAAGUUGGUGAUCCUCCCCGGCAACGGCGCCAGAAAUUCUUCUGCUACGGCAACAAGAAUCCUUCCCCGGCAACGGCGCCAGAAACUGACACGUUGACGGAGACUUGCUUGCGUUGGUUUUUCCCUUGAAGAGGAAAGGGUGAUGCAGCACAGCAGCACUAAGUAUUUCCCUCAGUUUGAGAACCUAGGUAUCAAUCCAGUAGGAGAAUCUCGUCAAGUCCAGAGUACCUGCGCAAACACAAACGAGCUUGCACCCAACGCUAUAAAGGGGUUGUCAAUCCCUUCAAGAUUGAAUGCAAAGUUAGAUAUGAAGGCGGAUAGUGCAACGAAGAAAAAGAGUAAGGCUGAAAAUAUGGUGUGGAGUAGACCCGGGGGCCAUAGUGUUCACUAGAGGCUUCUCUCAAAAUAGCAAAUAUUACGGUGGGUGAACAAAUUACUAUCGAGCAAUUGAUAGAACCGCGCAAAGUCAUGACGAUAUCUAAGGCAAUGAUCAUACAUAUAGGCAUCACAUCCGAGACAAGAAGACCGAUACUUUCUGCAUCUACUACUACUACUCCACACGACCACACAUCGACCGCUAUCCAGCAUGCAUCUAGUGUAUUCACUUCAUGACGAACAGAGUAACGCCUUAAGCAAGAUGACAUGAUGUAAAGGGAUAAUCUCAAACCAAUGAUGAAAACCCCAUCUUUUUACCCUUUAUGGCAACAAGACGAUGUGUGCCUCGCUACCCCUUCUGUCACUGGGUGAGGUCAACGCACUGUAUGAACCCAAAACCAAGCACUUCUCCCAUUGCAAGAAUCAUAGAUCAAGCUGGCCAAACAAAACCCACAACUCAAACAGAAUUAGAAGGAUAUGAAAUCAUGCAUAUAAGAGAUCAGAAGAAACUCAAAUAAGAUUCAUAGAUAAUCUGAUCAUAAAUCCACAAUUCAUCGGAUCUCGACAAACACACCGCAAAAGAAGAUUACAUCGGAUGGAUCUGCAUGAAGAUCAUGGAGAACUUUGUAUUGAAGAUCCAAGAGAGAGAAGAAGCCAUCUAGCUACUAGCUAUGGACCAGUAGGUCUAUGGUGAACUACUCACGCAUCAUCGGAGAGGUCAUGGUGUUGAUGAAGAAGCCCUCCGUAUCUGAAUCCCGCCUCCGGCAGGGCACCGGAACGUGCCCCAGAUGGGAUCUUGCAGAGACAGAAGCUUGCGGCGGCGGAAAAGUACUUCCGAUGAUCUCCUGAUUUUUUCUGGAAUUUUCGGGAAUAUAUAGGCGAAAGACCUUGGGUAGAGGUGGCACAGGGAGCCCACAAGCCUGGGAGGCGUGGCCCCCCUGGCCGCGGCUAGGGGGCUUGUGGGGUCCCUGCUGGCCCCCUGCCCUGAUUCUCAGGCUUCCCGAUCUUCUUCUAUUUCAGAAAAAAAUCUUUUUGGAAGUUUCGUUCCGUUUGGACUCCGUUUAAAAUCGUCCUCUGAAAAGGGUCAAAAACACGGAAAAAACUGGAGCUGGCACUUGGCACUGAGUUAAUAAGUUAGUCCCAAAAAAGAUAUCAAAGGCAUACAAAACAUCCAACGUUUGACAAGAUAAUAGCAUGAAACCAUCAAAAAUUAUAGAUACGUUGGAGACGUAUCAAUCUUAUACAACUAGAACUGUUACUUAACUAGAAUAUUUGCUCCGGGAUUGCUUCCUCGCAGGGAGUCGAGGGAGAAUCUCGGGGCAUGACCUCCUAUCAAUUAUUGUUGCAACAAUAUGACUAUAUAUUGUGUUACCUGUUCUACUCUCGUCUAUUGCUGCAAGACCCUUGAAGAUGCUAGUCUUUGAUAGGACUAGGCCUUUUCUCUCUUUCUCGCAUUGCUGUAGUCAGUCCGGAUUUGAACCCCUUCCUUUGAUACUGAUGCAUAUUUAGCAUACUUCUAAUGUCAGUCUUGCGAGUACUUUGAAUGAAUACUCACCAUUGCUUUGCUCCCCCCUUUGUACCCUUGAUCCAUUGUUGCGACGAGCUGAUGGAGCCCAGGAGAUGGAGUAUCCUGCAGACGACGAUUGCUACCCCGACGGUGCCUGCUGCUACGUGUAGGCCGCUGAAGACCAGGAGUAGUUUAGGAGGUUCCCAGGCAGGAGGCCUCGCCUCGUUCGAUCGUUGUAUCUUUGUGCUAGCCUUCUCUAAAGCACCCCAUGUCUAAUGUAUGUACUCAGAUAUUGUUGCUUCCGCUGACUCGUGUGUUUAUCGAGCUUCUGUAUUCUAGCAUUUGCGUGUAUGAUUAGUGUACGAUUAAAUCGAGGGCGCCACAACGGCCGCCUCCGCCUCAUCCCGCGUCCUUGGGAAGAGAUCUAUGGGAGGAGGACGAGCGUGCGGUGUAAGAAAAGAAAAGAAGGGGGCCAAGCCCAAGGUGGCAAAAGAAGAAGUCAAGACAAGAAAACUUACCAGACACGAGCGUGUCCACCUCAUGCGCCUCUUGCUGCAGCUCCCGCUCCCUCGUCGCCCAUGCCUUGGCCCGGCAGGCAUGCUUGUCCUACGCAACCCACGCCGCCUUGACCGCGUCCGCCAGAUGGUCGUCCUUGGCCUUUAGGGCCUCAACGUGAGUCGCAUCCCGCUACUCCAUCUACACGUGAUGAGCCGCAUCCCGCUGCUCCAGCGCUACGCGAUGAGCUGCAUCCCGCCGCUCCAGUUCCACGCAAUGUGCCACCUCACGGUCCUUCUUUUCCGCCUGGAGAAUGUCUGCCUCCUGGCGCAGCUAGCUGCACUCCUCUUGCAGGAGAUCCUGUUGCUAGUCGGUGUGGGUCAGCCGGCUCCGGAGAUCGGCCGCAUGGCUCUCUCACUCCCGGUACCGACCCAACAAUGCGUUGUAGGCGGUCACCCGGCCAUCAUGGUGGGCCUGCAAAGAACAAAGGAAAGAUUUUAUCGCGGGUAAGACUCGACCCGGUUGAUUCCCAACUGGCCCGAAUCUUGGAGGCUACACCCAGUGGGUGCUCUGGCGUGCCCCCACUAAAGAAAAAGAAAAAUCGGAAAAGAAAGAUUGAAGGGACAAAAUGCUUACCCCGACGGACUGCUCGAGGUCGAGCAACCGCUCCCGUGUCGCCUGGGCCGCCUGGAGCGCCUGGUCGCGACAUUUGGCGAAUUUUGUGAUAAAAACGUGGACACCGCCUCGUGGAAAGUUGGGAACCCUUUCUUCGGGGUUCCCGUCGGCUACGACCAAGUUCUCCAGUGGCUGGGUCCAGGCGCUGGUUCUGGCUCCGGCUGCAACAACAAAGUUCUCGCUCCUGAAUGCGUUCCCCCGGCCAGCUCCUUCGACGAGCGUCCUCGCGGGGUUCCUUCGAGGCGGGGAACUCAACCUCCGACGAUCCGCCUCCCACCUUCGCGUGUGGUUCGCUGGAGGAGUCUGCCUUGUCGCCCGGAGCCUCUGUCCCCGGCGGCAGAACCUCGACCUCUGGUGCGGCUUCGGGUUCCUCCGGUGCGGCUUCAGGCCCCUAUGACACGACGUCGGGCCCCUCCGGUGUUUUGUCGGGCCCCCUGCUCCGGUCCUUUGAUGGCAUCCAUUGCGCUCGCAUGUGCACGCGCCACUUCGUCGGUUCGCGCGUCCGCCUCCGAUUGCCGCGCGGGGUCAUGCGUCCUCUUGGACCGUUUUCCCUAGACGGUGGAUCCGGAGCAGAGACGUCCGGUUGCGGCACUUGACCCUCCGGCUCCACACGAGCCCCUCCAGCCCCCAUCCUCUAGGUCACCUCCUCCCAUGGACGGCGCUCCUGUUCGAUGAGUGCUUUCUCCGCCGCCUCCAGCUCCACCCCCGCCGCGUGCUCCUCCUUAAUGCUCCCUCCGGCCUCCCCCACCGUCGUACGGGUCGACUUCCCCAGGGUGCGCGGGGCCCUGUCCAUUGCGUUUGUAUGAGCACAAGCUAUCACGAAGAAAACAAGAACGAAGGGGAACAGACCGGGUGAAGGACUUACCCGGCGCCGACCAGGAACGCCCGCUUGGUAGGCGACGUCGGCGCGACCCCGUGCUUCUUUCCGCCGCAUCCACGGCCACCAGCCACAAGCCCAUCGGCUGCUUGCUUGGGAGGCGGGCGAGAGCUCACCAGCAGAUUGCCCCGCCUCGUUGUCUCCGCCUUGCUUCCGGCGGAGCCACGGCCGGCUCGGCGAAGCCGUCUACUCGGCACGCUCGUGUCAUCCUAUGGGGCCUCCAAAUCCUCUGCGGCGGCUACAUCGCGUGAUGCUGGUGGCUCAGCAUCAUCAUGAGACCAACCAAGCAGCACGGAUUUCAAAAACUCACCAGCCGCCUUGGAUUUCUCCAACUCCGCCGAAUCGACUCCCGACGCUUCAUCUCCGGCACGGGUCGUCUCCCUCAGAUCCACCUCGUCGGCAUCCUCGACUUCCUCGGGGUCUGACUCCGGCAAGUCAUCUCCUGGCUUGCCAUAAAUAUGCAACCGGGAAAACAACUAUUGCCGCAGUUGACAUCCGGCGUCACGCGUGGAAGGGCGGCAUAAAAAACAAAAGAAAGGAAAACUAAUAUGCCACUUAGCACUGGAGCCGAAUGCUCCUAGUCGUAGGCGGCCUCGCCCCAUUGCCACUCCCCUUCGUCCAUCUGGGCGGCAGACAUCACGUUCACCCGCCUCGCCACAUGGUGCAACCUCAGCUCUUUCGUCGAGAGCCGGCACGGGUGAUGCCGGCCGUCCAUCUGACAGAUGAGGUGCGGGCGGUGUUGCGGCGGCGGAACCUGAUGUGCCACCAUGGUGGCGAGAAGAUCCACACCCGUGAGGCCUUCCUCAUCGACCAGUUGUGUCAGCCUGGCGCAGAUCUAGUCCACCUCGUCGAUCGGGUACGGCAAGGCAGACUUCCAGUUCAGCUUGUCAACCGGAGGCGUGUCAAAGAAGUCGGGCAAGUUGAUAAAGUUGAGGGCUGUAUCGACGUUCUUCACGUAGAAGAACCCCUUCGGCCAACUCUUCAUUGAGUCCUGCAAGGAAAGCUUCGGGAAGCCGGCUCCCGUAUGGUGGUGGAAGAGUGUUGCCCCACACGCGCUCAGCUCCUUCAUGUUGGUGGCCUUGUUCACCACUGUGAGCUGCUUGAAGUAGAAGAGCAGGCGCCAGAGAUCCAAGCGUGGCUCGAUCCCCAGGAAGCCCUCGCACAGGGUGACGAAGGCGGCCAACUGCAAGACGAUGUUGGCACUGAGGUGGUGAGGUUGCAGGCCGAAGUGUGUGAGGAACCAGUGAAAGAAGGUGCUCGCCGGCAGCCCGAGCCCUCGGGCGAAAUGCUCUGCGAACAACACCACCUCGUCGUCUUGCGUGGCCAGAGCAUACUCCGCGCAUGUGAGACGCGCGGCCACAUGCUCUCACGGCAGUAGCUUGCGGCGAUGGUGGAGGCACUCUAUGUACUCCUCAUCGAUGUCACUGCCGAACCAGGCGCCUGUGGUCGUCAUACUUCUCGGCGGUGGCUCGGUGCAUGGGGCCAAAGACGGGAAAGUUCGACAGGUCGCGGGCGUCGGCGGCGAAUGGCGUCACAACGGGCGCACGACAGCCCCCCCCCCCCCCCCUCUCUCUCUUGGUGCGGGAGGGGGAGCGAUGGAGAUGGAAAGUGUUGUGGACGUCGAAUGGGAAACAAAAAAUUUCCUACGCACACGCAGUUCCUAUCAUGGUGAUGUUCAUCUACGAGACGAGAUUCAGAUCUACAUACCAUUGUCGAUCGCACAGCAGGAAGCGUUAAGAAACGCGGUUGAUGUAGUGGAACGUCCUCACGUCCCUCGAUCCGCCCUGCGAACCAUCCCACGAACCGUCUCGCGAUCCGUCCCACGAUCCGCUCCGAUCUAGUGCCGAACGGACGGCACCUUCGCGUUCAUCACACGUACAGCUCGACGAUGAUCUCGGCCUUCUUGAUCCAGCAAGAGAGACAAAGAGGUAGAUGAGUUCUCCGGCAGUGUGACGGCGCUCCGGAGGUUGGUGGUGAUCUAUCUCAGCAGGGCUCCGCCCGAGCUCCGCAGAAAUACGAUCUAGAGGAAAACCAUGGAGGUAUGUGGUCGGGCUGCCGUGGCAAAGUUUUUUUUCAAAUCAACCCUAAUACCUCAGUAUAUAUAGGAGGGAGGGGAGGGACCUUGCCUUGAGGCUCAAGGGAGACCCAAGGGGUCGGCCGAAGGGGGGAGGAAGAAUCCUCCUCCAAUCCUAGUCCAACUAGGAUUGGAAGGUGGAGUCCUUCCCUUCCUUCCCACUUCCCCUUUUUUUCUCUUUGAUUUUCCUUUUCCUGCGCAUAGCGCCUCUUGGGCUGUCCCACCAUCCCACUAAGGGCUGGUACGGCACCCCUAAGGCCUAUGGGCUUCCCCCGGGUGGGCUGCCCCCCCCCCCACCCGGUGAACACCCGGAACCCAAUCGUCACUCCCGGUACAUUCCCGGUAAUGCCGAAAACUUUCCGGUAAUCAAAUGAGGUCAUCCUAUAUAUCAAUCUUCGUCUCCGGACCAUUCCAGAAACCCUCGUGACGUCUGUGAUCUCAUCCGGGACUCCGAACAACAUUCGGUAACCAACCAUAUAACUCAAAUACGCAUGAAACAUCGUCGAACCUUAAGUGUGCAGACCCUGCGGGUUUGAGAACAAUGUAGACAUGAACCGAGAGACUUCUCGGUCAAUAUCCAAUGGUAGGAGCUGGAUGCCCAUAUUGGAUCCUACAUAUUCUCCGAAGAUCUUGUCGGUUGAACCUAAGUGUCAAGGAUUCAUAUAAUCAUGUAUGUCAUUCCCUUUGUCCUUGGUAUGUUACUUGCCCGAGAUCCAAUCGUCAGUAUCCGGAUACCUUUUUCAAUCUUGUUUACCGGCAAGUCUGUUUACUCAUUCCGUAAUACAACAUCCCGUGACUUACAUCAAGUCACAUUGCUUGCAAGGCUUGUGUGUGAUGUUGUAUUACCGAGUGGGCCCCGAGAUACCUCUCCGUCACACGGAGUGACAAAUCCCAGUCUUGAUCCAUACUAACUCAACGGGCACCUUCGGAGAUACCUGUAGAGCAUCUUUAUACUCGUCCAGUUACGUUGUGACGUUUGAUACACAUAAGGCAUUCCUCCGGUGACAGUGAGUUAUAUGAUCUCAUGGUUAUAGGAAUAAAUACUUGGCACGAAAAAUAGUAGCAACAAAAUGACACGAUCAACUUGCUACAUUUAUUAGUUUGGGUCUAGUCCAUCACAUGAUUCUCCUAAUGAUGUGAUCCCGUUAUGAAGUGACAACACUUGCCUAUGGUGAGGAAACCUUGACCAUCUUUGAUCAACGAGCUAGUCAACUAGAGGCUUACUAGGGACAGUGUUUUGUCUAUGUAUCCACACAAGUAUUGUGUUUCCAAUCAAUACAAUUAUAGCAUGGAUAAUAAACGAUUAUCAUGAACAAAGAAAUAUAAUAAUAACUAAUUUAUUAUUGCCUCUAGGGCAUAUUUCCAACAGUCUCCCACUUGCACUAGAGUCAAUAAUCUAGUUCACAUCACCAUGUGAUCUCAACGAAUCCAACACCCAUAUAGUUCUGGGGUCUGAUCACGUCUUGCUCGUGAGAGAGGUUUUAGUAAACGGUUCUGAAACUUUCAGAUCUGUGUGUUCUUUACAAAUCUUUAUGUCAUCUUAUAGAUGUUGUUACUAUGUGCUAUUCAGAAAUACUCCAAAUAUCUACUCUACCAUACGAAUUUGUUUCACUACUCAUAGUUAUUCGGAUUAGUGUCAAAGCUUGCAUCGACGUAACCCUUUACGAUGAACUCUUUAACCACCUCCAUAAGCGAGAAAAAUUCCUUAGUCCAUUUAGUUACUAAGGAUAACUUUGACCGCUGAUCAGUGAUUCAAUCCUCGAUCAUUCUCUGUACCUCUUAACAGACUAGCUGCAAGGCACACAUCAGGUGCGGUACUCAUCAUGGCAUACUUUAGAGACUAUGGCUAAGGCAUAGAAGACGACCUUCGUCUAUUCUCUUUAUUCUGUCGUGGUCGGGUUUUGAGUCUUACUCAAAUUAAAACAUUACAACACAGUCAAGAACUCCUUCUUUGCUGAUCUAUUUUGAACUCCUUCAAAAACUUUUCAAGGCAUGCACCUUGUUGAAACUUCUAUUAAGCGUUUCAAUCUAUCUCCAUAGAUCUUGAUGCUCAACGUUCAAGUAGCUCAAUCCAGGUAUUCCUUUGAAAAACUCCUUUCAAACAACAUUUUAUGCUUCACAGAAAUUCUACAUUACUUCUGAUCAACAAUAUGUCAACCACAUAUACAUAUCAGAAAUGUUAUAGUGCUCCCACUCACUUCUUUGGAAAUACAAGUUUCUCAUAAACCUUGUACAAACCCAAAAGCUUUGAUCAUCACAUCAAAGCAUAUAUUCCAACUCCGAGAUGCUUGCACCAGUCGAUAAAAGGAUCGCUGGAGCUUGCAUACUUGUUAGUAUCCUUAGGAUCGACAAAACCUUCUGAUUUGUAUCACAUACAAUCUUUCCUCAAGGAAACCGUCAAGGAAACAAUGUUUUGACUUCCGAUGUGCAAUAUUUCACAAAUAAUGCAGCAACUACUAACAUAAUUCCAACAGACCUUUAGCAUCUCUAUGAGUCACAAAGUCUCAUCAUAGUCGACUCUUUGAACUUGUCGAAAAACCUCCUUGCGACAAGUCGAGCUUUUCUUAAUGGUGACAAUUCACCAUCAUCGUUUGUCUUCCUUAUAAAGAUCCAUCUUUACUUAAUAGUCCUAUGACCAUCAAGUAGUUCUUCCAAAGUCUAUACUUUGUUCUCACAUAUGGAUUGUCUCUCGGAUGUCAUGGCCUCCAGCCAUUUGUCGGAAUCUGGGCCCACCAUUGCUUCUCCAUAACUCGUAGGUUCAUUGUUGUUCAACAACAUGACCUCCAAGACAGGGUUACUGUACCACUCUGUAGUAGUAUGCGACCUUGUCAACCUACGAGGUUUGUAGUAACUUGAUCCAAUGCUUUAGUGAUCACCAUCAUCAACUUCGACUUCAAUUGGUGUAGGCGCCACAGGAACAACUUCAUGCGCCCUGCUACACACUAGUUGAAGUGAUGGUUUAAUAACCUCAUCAAGUUCUACUACCCUCCCACUCAAUUCUUUCGAGAGAAACCUUUCCUCGAGAAAGGACCCGUUUUCUACAAACAAACACUUUGCUUACGGAUCUGAGCUAGGAGAUGCACCCAACUCUUUUGGAUAUCCUAUGAAGAUGCAGUUAUCCGCUUUGGGUUCGAGCUUAUCAGACUGAAACUUUUUCACAUAAGUGUCGCAACCCCAAACUUUCAAGAAACAAAAGCUUAGAUUUCUCCAAACCUCAAUCUAUACUGUGUCAUCUCAACGGAAUUACGCGGUGCCCUAUUUAAAGUGAAUGCGGUUGUCUCUAAUGCAUAACCCAGAAAUGAUAGUGGUAACUCCAUAAGAGACAUGAUAGUAUGCACCAUAUCAAAUAGGUCGCGGCUAUGAAGUUCCGACACACCAUCACACUAUGGUGUUCCUGGUGGCAUAAAUUGCGAAACAACAUCCACAUUGUCUUAACUGUGUACCAAAACUCGCAACUCAGAUCUCUAUGAUCAUAUCGUAGACAGUUUAUCCUCUUGUUACAACGAACUUCACUCUGAAACAGAAUUGAACUUUUCAAUAUUUUAGACUUGUGAUUCAUUAAGUAAACACUCUUGUAUCUACUCAAAUCGUCAUUGAAGUAAGAACAUAAUGACAUCCACUGCGUGCCUCAGCACUCAUUGGACGGCAUACAUCAAAAUGUAUUACUUCCAACAAGUUACUUUCAUGUUUCAUCUCAAUGAAAACAAGGCCUUGCUCAUGUGGUAUGAUUUGGAUGUCUCAAUUGAUUCAAAAUCAAGUGAGAUUUAAAGAUCCAUCAGGAUGUAGCCUUUCAUGCAAUUUACACCAACAUGACUCAAGCGGCAGUGCCACAAGUAGGUGGUACUUAUCAUCAUUACCUUGUAUCUUUUGGCACCAAUAUCAUGAACAUGUGUAACACUACGAUCGAGAUUCAAUAAACCAUUGAAGGUGAUUAUUCAAGCAAAUAGAGUAACCAUUAUUCUCUUUAAAUGAAUAACCGUAUUGAAAUAAACACGAUCCAAUCAUGUUCAUGCUCAACGCAAGCACGAAAUAACAAUUAUUUAGGUUUAACACCAAACCCGAUGGUAGAGGGAGCGUGCGACGUUUGAUCACAUCAACCUUGGAAACACUUCCAACACGUAUCGUCACCUCGCCUUUAGCUAGUCUCUGUUUACACCGUAGGUUUCGUUUCAAGUUACUAAUCCCUUAGCAACCGAACCGGUAUCCAAUACCCUCGUGCUACUAGGAGUACUAGUAAAGUACACAUCAAUAUCAUGUAUAUCAAAUAUACUUGUGUCGACUUUGCCAACCUUCUUAUCUACCAAGUAUCUAGGGUAGCUCCGCCUCAGCGACCGUUCCCCUCAUAACAGAAGCACUUAGUCUCGGGUUUGGGUUCAAUUUUGGGUUUCUUCAUUACAUCAGCAACUGGUUUGUCCUUUCAUGAAGUAUCCCUUUUAGACCUUGCCCCUUUUGAAACUUAGUGGUUUUACUAACCAUCAACUAUUGAAGCUCCUUCUUGAUUUCUACUUUCGAAGUGUCAAACAUUGCGAAUCGCUCAAGGAUCAUUGUAUCUAUCCUUGAUUUGUUAUAGUUCAUCACGAAGCUCUCACAGCUUGGUGGCAGUGACUUUGGAGAACCAUCACUAUCUCAUUUGGAAGAUUAACUCCCACUUGAUUCAAGCGAUUGUCGUACUCAGACAAUCUGAGCACACGCUCAACGAUCGAGCUUUUCUCCUUCACUUCAUGGACAAAGAAUCUUGUCGGAGGUCUCAUACCUCUUAACAAGGGCAGAACAUCUCUUAUGUUCCGUGACGUUUCAAAAUGUCUUCGGCGCCUUGCUUCUAAGCCAUUAAGUAUUUUGCACUGUACUAUCGCGUAGUCAUCAGAAACGUGUAUGUCGGAUGUUCACAACAUCCACAGACGACGCUCGAGGUGCAGCACACCGAGUGGUGCAUUCAGGACAUAAGCCUUCUACACAGCAACGAGGACAAUCCUCAGUUUUACAUUCUCAGUCCGCAAAGUUGCUACUAUCAACUUUCAACUAAAUUUUCUCUAGGAACAUAUAAAAAACAGUAGAGCUAUAACGCAAGCUACAUCGUAAUUCGCAAAGACAAUUAGACUAUGUUCAUGAUAAUUAGUUCAAUUAAUCAUAUUACUUAAGAACUCCCACUCAAAAAGUACAUCUCUCUAGUCAUUUGAGUGGUACAUGAUCCAAAUCCACUAUCUCACGUCCGAUCAUCACGUGAGUCGAGAAUAGUUUGAGUAGUAAACAUCUCUAUGCUAAUCAUAUCAACUAUACGAUUCAUGCUCGACCUUUCGGUCUCUUGUGUUCCGAGGCCAUGUCUGCACAUGCUAGGCUCGUCAAGUUUAACCCCGAAGAUUCCGCGUGUGCAACUGUUUUGCACCCGUUGUCUGUGAACGUUGAGUCUAUUACACCCGAUCAUCACGUGGCGUCUCGAAAUGACGAGCUGUCGCAACGGUGCACAAUCGGGGAGAACACAAUUUGAGCUUGAAAUUUUAGUGAGAGAUCACCUCAUAAUGCUACCGUUGUUCUAAGCAAGAUAAGGUGCAUAAAGGAUUAACAUCACAUGCAAUUCAUAAGUGACAUGACAUGGCCAUCAUCAAGUGCUCCUUGAUCUCCAUCACCAAAGCACCGGUAUGAUCUUCUUGUCACCGGCACCACACCAUGAUCCCCAUCAUCAUGAUCUCCAUCAUCGUGCCGCCAUCGAGGUUGUCGUGUAUGCUAUGCUAUUACUACUAAAGCUACGUCCUAGAAAUAUAGUAAACGCAUGUGCAAACACAAGCGUUAGUUUAAAGACAACCCUAUGGCUCCUGCCGGUUGCCGUAGCAUCGACGUGCAAGUCGAUAUUAACUAUUACAACAUGAUCAUCUCAUACAUCCAAUAUAUCACAUCACGUCGUUGGCCAUAUCACAUCACAAGCAUACCCUGCAAAAACAAGUUAGACGUCCUCUAAUUGUUGUUGCAUGUUUUACGUGGUUGCCAUGGGUAUCUAGUAGGAUCGCAUCUUACUUACGCAAACACCACAACGGAGAUGUAUGAAUUGCUAUUUAACCUCUCUCCAAGGACCUCCUCGGCCAAAUCCCAUUCAAUUAAUGUUGGAGAAACCGACACUUGUCAGUCAUCUUUGAGCAAUGGGGUUGCUCGUAGCUAUGAAACCAGUCUCUCGUAAGCGUACGAGUAAUGUCGGUCCGAGCCGCUUCGAUCCAACAAUACCGCGGAAUCAAGAAAAUACUAAGGAGGGCAGAAAAUUGCACAUCACGGCCCACAAAAACUUUUGUGUUCUACUCGAGAUAACAUCUACGCAUGAACCUCGCUCAUGAUGCCACUGUUGUGGAACGUCGCAUGGGAAACAAAAAAAUUCCUACGUACACACAAUUCCUAUCAUGGUGAUGUUCAUCUACGAGAGGAGAUUCAGAUCUACAUACCCUUGUAGAUCGCACAGCAGGAAGCGUUAAGAAACGCGGUUGAUGUAGUGUAACGUCCUCACCUCCCUCGAUCCGCCCCGCGAACCGUCCCACAAACCAUCCCGCGAUCCGUCCCACGAUCCGCUCCGAUCUAGUGCCGAACGGACGGCACCUCCGCGUUCAGCACACGUACAGCUCGACGAUGAUCUCGGCCUUCUUGAUCCAACAAGAGAGACGAAGAGGUAGAUGAUUUCUCCGGCAGCAUGACGGUGCUCUGGAGGUUGGUGGUGAUCUAUCUCAGUAGGGCUCCGCCCGAGCUCCGCAGAAAUACGAUCUAGAGGAAAAACCGUGGAGGUAUGUGGUCGGGCAGCCGUGGCAAAGUUUUUUUUUCAAAUCAGCCCUAAUACCUCGGUAUAUAUAGGAGGGAGGGGAGAGACCUUGCCUUGAGUCUAAAGGGAGCCCCAAGGGGUCGGCCAAAGGGGGGGAGGAGGAAUCCUCCUCCAAUCCUAGUCCAACUAGGAUUGGAAGGUGGAGUCCUUCCCUACCUUCCCACUUCCCCUUUUUUUCUCUUUGAUUUUCCUUCUCCUGCGCUUAGGGCCUCUUGGGCUGUCCCACCAGCCCACUAAGGGCUGGUGCGGCACCCCUAAGGCCUAUGGGCUUCCCCUGGGUGGGCUGCCCCCCCCCCCCCGGUGAACACCCGGAACCCAUUCGUCACUCCUCGUACAUUCCCGGUAAUGCCGAAAACUUUCCGGUAAUGAAAUGAGGUCAUCCUAUAUAUAAAUCUUCGUAUACGGACCAUUCCGGAAAUCCUCGUGACGUCUGUGAUCUCAUCCAGGACUCCGAACAACAUUUGGUAACCAACCAUAUAAGUCAAAUACGCAUAAAACAUCGCCGAACCUUAAGUGUGCAGACCCUGCGGGUUCGAGAACUAUGUAGACAUGACCCGAGAGACUCCUCGGUCAAUAUCCAAUGGCGGGACCUGGAUGCCCAUAUUGGAUCCUACAUAUUCUCCAAAGAUCUUAGCAGUUGAACCUCAGUGUCAAGGAUUCAUAUAAUCCCGUAUGUCAUUCCCUUUGUCCUUCGGUAUGUUACUUGCACGAGAUUCGAUCGUCGGUAUCCGCAUACGUAUUUCAAUCUCGUUUACCGGCAAGUCUCUUUACUCGUUCCAUAAUACAAGAUCCCGUGACUUACAUCAAGUCACAUUGCUUGCAAGGCUUGUGUGUGAUGUUGUAUUACCGAGUGGGCCCCGAGAUACCUCUCUGUCACACGGAGUGACAAAUCCUAGUCUUGAACCAUACUAACUCAACGGGCACCUUCGGAGAUACCUGAAGAGCAUCUUUAUAGUCACCGAGUUACGUUGUGACGUUUGAUACACACAAGGCAUUCCUCCGGUGCCAGUGAGUUAUAUGAUCUCAUGGUCAUACGAAUAAAUACUUGACACGCAGAAAAACAGUAGCAACAAAAUGACACGAUCAACAUGCUACGUUUAUUAGUUUGGGUCUAGUCCAUCACAUGAUUCUCCUAAUAAUGUGAUCCCGUUAUCAAGUGACAACACUUGCCUAUGGUCAGGAAACCUUUACCAUCUUUGAUCAGCGAGCUAGUCAACUAGAGGCUUACUAGGGACAGUGUUUUGUCUAUGUAUCCACACAAGUAUUGUGUUUCCAAUCAAUACAAUUAUAGCAUGGAUAAUAUACGAUUAUCAUGAACAAAUAAAUAUAAUAAUAACUAAUUUAUUAUUGCCUCUAGGGCAUAUUUCCAACAGAAAGGGACGGGGACAGGGGAGCGAAUGGCACCCUCGGCCCCUCCUCCUGCCCAUUUAAACCCCACGCGGGGUAGUGAGGAGGGGAUCAGGCAUGCAGGAUCUCCACUACCUCCGCGCCGCACGGGCGGCGUUACUGCUCAACGGGAGCGCCAAAUGUCGCUCCCAAUCGCACAAGAUCUGCGCGCGUGGGCCGAGGUCGUGGUCAAGCGGGCCUCACCCCAUGGCCCGGUCUUGUCACACGCGUGAUGGUCAGGCCUCGGCGUGCGGCAUGCCGCACGUGGCGUCCCUCAUCUACGCGUCGGAGAGCCCAGGCGGUCCACGCUCCGUCCAGCUGCGAUUCGGGCCACCUCCAACUAGUACGUGUGCCGGCUACGGCUCCGCGAGCUCACGGGCGAAGAAUCGAAGCCGGCAAGAUCCGCCGCUCCAAGCCGGCGGGCCUCCCGUGCUUCAGAGACUACACACGGGGGGAUGACCCCAGGGGUAGGCUAAUUUGAGCGCCUCUCCCAUACUGCUUCGAAAAACCAACACAAGACGACCUCUUCCCAUGAAUGGCCGGUUACCCUGGCCGACAGCGCAAUGCUACACCUCCGUCGUAUCUUCUUUUCCAAACUAUUUUGCCCUUGUUUUGGACUCUAAUUUGCAUGAUUUGAAUGGAACUAACCCGGACUAACGAUGUUUUCACCAGAAUUGCCAUGGUGUUGUUUUUGCGCAAAAAUAAAAAUUCUCGGAAUGACCUCGAAGUUUGCGGGGAUUUUUUGUGAAAUAUAUAAAAAAAUACUAGCGCAAGAAUUAACCGGAGGGGUGGAUCUGUGAGCCCAUAAGCCCACCAGGCGCGGGGCCCCCCUGGCCGCGCCUGGCAGGCUUGUGGUGCCCACGUUGCUCCACCGCCUCCAAUCUCAGCUCUAUUUAGUCCCUUCCGUCCGGAAAAAAAAUCAAAGAGAAGAGUUCACCGUGUUUUACGAUACGGAGGCGCCGCCACCUCCUGUUCUUCCUCUGGAGGGCAGAUCUGGAGUCCGUUCUAGGCUCCUGAGAGGGGAGAUCGUCGACAUCGUCACCACCAACCUUCCUUCAUUGCCAAUUCCAUGAUGCUCUUCACCGUUCGCGAGUAAUCUCAUCGUAGGCUUGCUGGACGGUAAAGGGUAGGAUGAGAUCUAUCAUGCAAUCGAGUUAGUUUUGACGGGGAUUGAUCCCUAGUAUCCAUUAUGUUCUGAGAUUGAUGUUGCUACUACUUUGCCAUGCUUAAUGCUUGUCACUAGGGCCCGAGUGCCAUGAUUUCAGAUCUGAACCUAUUAUGUUGUCACCAAUAUAUGUGUGUUCUUGAUCCUAUCUUGCAAGUUGUAGUCACCUACUAUGUGUUAUGACCAGGCAACCACGGAGUGAUAAUAGCCGGAACCACUCCCGGAGAUGACCAUAGUAUGAGGAGUUCAUGUAUUCACUAAGUGUUAAUGCGUUGGUCCGGUUCUUUUUUAAAAGGAGAACCUUAAUAUCCCGUAGUUUCCAUUAGGACCCCGCUGCCACGGGAGAGAUGGACAAUAGAUGGCAUGCAAGUUCUUUUCCCUAAGCACGUAUGACUACAUACGGAAUGCAUGCCUACAUUAUAUUGAUGAACUGGAGCUAGUUACAUAUAUAUCCGUGUUAUAAAUGUUGCAUGAUGAAUAACAUACGGCAUAAUCCUCCAUCACCAAUCCAAUGCCUACGAGUUCUUCCUACUGGUCCUUGCUACGUUACUUUGUUGGUACUGCUGUUAGUGCUGCUACUGUUACUGUGUUGCUACUGUUGUUACUUUGUUGCUACUGCUGUCACUUUGUUGCGGAUACUAAAUCUUUCAGGUGUGGUUGAAUUGACAACUCAACUGCUAAUACUUGAUAAUAUUCUUUGGCUUCCCCAUGUGUCGAAUCGAUAAAUUUGGGUUGAAUACUCUACCCUCGAAAACUGUUGCGAUCCCCUAUACUUGUGGGUUAUCAAGACCUUUUUCUGGCGCCGUUGCCGGGGAAGCACAACAAUAUUCUCUGAGUCACUUGGGAUUUACGUCUGCUGGUCACUAUGAGGAAUCCGAAAGAUCCAAGAACUAAAGUCUUGCCCACAAUUACGAGGAGAGGUAAGGAACUGCCAUCUAGCUCUGCACUUGAUUCACCUUCAGUUAUGAGUAUGUUUGCACACCACCUCCUUCUAAAAAUCUUGAUAUGUCGCAUGUGCAUGAUGAUGCUACUUCUGCUGCCCAUGAUGCUUAUGAUGAUGCUAUGCUUGAUAGUGCUUUGCCACUAGGUGCAUUCCUUGAUGCACAAAUUGCUAGAGUUGCUGCUAGAUGUGAUGAUACUUCUGAAACUGCUGAUACUAUUGAAGUAGAACCUGCUAUUUUGCUUGUUAGAACUAGCUUUCCUCGAUAUGAAUUGCCUGAUAUGCCUGAGGGUUAUGUUAUGGAUGGAGAGAUAGCUGAGGACUUUCUUGGUUGUAAGGAUAGCUAUGAUGUUGAGAAAUUACUGCUCAAGUGGAAAGAAAAAUCUUUGAACGCUAGGAUGAAAUAUGACCCAAAGUUUGCUACUUCACCUAUCUUUGUGACCAAUAAGGAUUAUGAAUUCUCUGUUGACCCUGAGUUAAUCACUCUAGUCGAAUCUGAUCCUUUUCACGGUUAUGAGUCUGAAACGGUUGUAGCCCAUCUUACCAAACUGCACGAUAUAGCCACCCUAUUCACUAGUGAGGAAAAGAUCCGCCACUACUAUAUCAUUAAGCUGUUUCCUUUCUCGCUAAAGGAUGAUGCUAAGACUUGGUUCACUUAUCUUGCUCCUAGUUGUGUGCGUAGCCCCCAGGAUAUGAUCUACUACUUCUCUAAAAAAUAUUUCCCUUCCCAUAAGAAGCAAGCUGACUUGCAGGAAAUAUACAACUUUGCUCAAAUUAAAGAAGAGAGUCUCCCAAAAGCUUUGGGGAGGCUCGUCCACCUGCUGAAUGCUUUGCCUGAUCACCCUCUUGAGAAGAAUGAAAUACUUGAUAUCUUCUAUAAUGGACUUACCGAUGCUUCUAGAGACUGAUACGUCUCAAACGUAUCUAUAAUUUUUGAUGGUUUCAUGUUGUUAUCUUGUCAUCUUUGGAUGUUUUAUGUACCUUUUAUAUCUUUUUUGGGACUAACUUAUUAAUUCGGUGCCAAGUGCCAGUUCCUGUUUUUUAUGUGUUUUUGGUUCUUUCCAGAUCUGAUUUUGGAAGGGAGUCCAAACGGAAUAAAAUCCCAGAAAUGAUUUUUCUCGAACGAAAGAAGAUCAGGGGGCUGUGGGCCAAGCCAAGAGGGCUCCAGGGAGCCCACAAGCCCCCACUCCGCCACCAGGGGGAGGCGGCGGUAGGUAGGCUUGUGGCCUCCCUGGCGCCCCCCUGACCUAGAUCUUGCGCCUAUAUAAUCCCUAAAAAAUAGAAAAAAUCAAGGGAGCCUCGAAAAUACUUUUCCGCCGCCGCAAGCUUCCGUUUCCGUGAGAUAUCAUUUGGAGACCCUUCCCGGCGCCCUGCCGGAGUGGACUUUGGAGUUGGAGGGCUUCUUCAUCAUCAUCAUCGCCCCUCCAAUGACUCGUGAGUAGUUCACUUCAGACCUACGGGUCCAUAGUUAGUAGCUAGAUGGCUUCUUCUCUCUCUUGGAUCUUCAAUACAAAGUUCUCCAUGAUCUUCAUGGAGAUCUAUCCGAUGUAAUCUUCUUUGGCGGUGUGUUUGUCGAGAUCCGAUGAAUUGUGGAUUUGUGAUCAGAUUAUCUAUGAUAUAUAUUUGAGUCUUUGCUGAUUUCUUUUAUGCAUGAUUUGAUAUCCUUGUAAGUCUCUCCGAGUCUUGGGUUUUGUUUGGCCAACUAGAUCUAUGAUUCUUGCAAUGGGAGAAGUGCUUGGUUUUGGGUCUUACCAUGUGGUGACCUUUCCCAGUGACAGUAGGGGCAGCAAGGCACACAUUGAGUAGUUGCCAUCAAGGGUAACAAGGUGGGCUCUUUUGUUGAUAUGAGAUUGUCCAUCUACAUCAUGUCAUCUUGCUUAAGGCGUUAAUCUGUUCUUUUGGACUUAAUACACUAGAUACAUGCUGGAUAGCGGUCGACGUGUGGAGUAAUAUUAGUAGAUGCAGACAGUAUCGGUCUACUUGUUUUGGAUGUGAUGCCUAUAGAUAUAAUCAUUGCCAUAGAUAACGUCACGACUUUGCGUGGUUCUAUCAAUUGCUCGACGGUAAUUUGUUCACUCACCGUCUACUUGCUUUCAUGAGAGAAGCCACUAGUAAACACUACGGUCCCCGGGUCUAUUCACACCUAUCGUUUCCACUUUUUCUUUUACUUUGCUUUGUUACUUUGUUGCUUUCAGUUCUCACUUUGCGACCAAUCUAUAAGGGAUUUACAACCCCUUCAUAGCGUUGGGAGCAGGUUCUUUGUGUUUGUCCAGGCACUUGUGAUACUCCUUCACUGGAUCGAUACCUUGGUUCUCAAAACUGAGGGAAAUACUUACCACCGUUGCGCUACAUCACCCUUUCUGCUUCGAGGGAACACCAACGCAAGGCUCCAAGGCCACGGGCGAAAUCCUUUGCAUAUUUGCCUAGGAAGUCCCUUAAGGCGUAGCCGUAGCAGAAGAAUUCCUGGUGCCGUCGACACGACUAUUUCUAGCGCCGUUGGAAGGUCUUUUGUUGCAGUAGCAGAAGUAUUUCUGGCGCCGUUGCCGGGGAAGGAGAGAUCUAUCCAAGUAGGUCUCACAAACUCAUCUCCUNNNNNNNNNNNNNNNNNNNNNNNNNNNNNNNNNNNNNNNNNNNNNNNNNNNNNNNNNNNNNNNNNNNNNNNNNNNNNNNNNNNNNNNNNNNNNNNNNNNNUUCGAGCGGCGCCGUGUUGGUGGGAGAUGCGGGGUGGUGGCGCUGGGGCCGAGCGGAAAGAAAGCGAUGGUUGCACGUUGGCGAGGGGCCGUUUCAGAUGUGUGGGCAGGCGGAACGGCCAUGAUUCGUUCCGGAACAAAGGACCUUGGAAAAGCCGUUCGCGGCAUGAUAAACAGCAGUACUGUAUCAAUAACACCGUGCUAGCGUUGAUAAGCCGCGUCGUGUCCACGGAAGAAGCACCUAGCACAGGAACUGUAGACAAGGUUCAACCGUCACCGUAGGAAUCAGCCGUUGUACCAAAUGGCAUCGGUACGGGGAACGGUAUUUAGCAGCAGCGGCAGUACCUGCAGAUGCCAUUUCUUUUGCUCAAAGCUUCGGAUGCUUACAAGACAUCCUUGUGUUGGUUAGCGGUAGAGAGCAUUGAUUUCGAAAGAGAAGGCAAACGCAACGCAUGCGGCGAGCCUUGAAUCAAGGAGCGGCGUGCCGACUGCUUACCAGUAAGAUCGACAGCUACGGGGGGGGGGGGGGGGGAUGGAUAGGAGCCGAAAACAACACGUCGAAUUUUACCUACUACCCGCUCGCCCCACAUCCAUCUUGGCACCACAUGCAUGCAACUAUACCACAUGAAAAGAAGCACGCAUGACGGCGACACGGCGCUCAAUUAUCCUCCACUAAACCGGGGCGGCUCGUGACAGAAGUUCAAAAAACUCAUCCAGAUUCCAGCUCCGUUCCACUUCCACGGUGUGCUCGGCCUCACCGUUUGUGUGUGUGUNNNNNNNNNNNNNNNNNNNNNNNNNNNNNNNNCAGUGGCGAGAGCACGAGCCAUGCCAUGGUAGUACGCAUCGAGCAAGCCCAGACACACAUCUCGUCUCAUCCAGAGUCCGACAUCCCCACCUCGCCUCUUUUCCCUUUGGCCCCUGCGCUCUCACUCACGUCAGACGGUUUCCCCAUCUCGCCCGCCCCGCCCUUUAUCUUUUCCUCUUUUCCGCCUUCUUUUUCCGUCUCAUCUCUCAUCACAGUCUCACUCCUCACCCCCGUCCGUCGCCGUCUACCUCUCGCGCUCGCUUCACAUUUUUCCCCACUGCCCUCCUUGUACUCCACUCCUGGCCGCCCGCACUCUCCAUGCCCUCCUCGUGAAGCAAGCAGAUCCUUUCGCGUCCCUAUUAGAGCCCCCAGCCGAGUUCCGCGAUGGACAAGGAGAGGAAGCAGGGCUUCUUCGCCGCUCUCAAGGAGGAGGUGGUGCGCGGGCUCUCGCCGGCCAGGUCCCGGGGN
rnacentral:lncRNA from 1 species